AGCAAUUCAAGUUUUCAGCUCCCCGGAUUUUGCAUGCCUCGAAUGCUCAAUGAGGAGGAUGAGUGUAGUGAUUCUGAUGGAGAAAGUUUUGAGGCUGUCACUCCAGAGCACUAUUCUGGAGGUCCUGAAGAACAAGAGGCAAACCCUGCAAGUGAAAAGCGCAGACAUAUUUUGGAAGAUGUUGAUGGUGAACUUGAAAUGGAGGAUGUUGCUCCUGAGAUUGAAAUGAGUUCAACUAGUUGUGCUGCUGGAACCAAUACUGCACAAACUUUGCAAGAGCAUUGUGAUCAGCAUUUUCCAUUGCCAUUUGCCCCACCUUUACCUCAUGAUGUGCAUCCGUCAUCACCACCACUGCCAUCAUCUCCACCUCCGCCACCCCCUCCACCGCCUCCUCUUCCUCCACCCAUCCCUCCUCCUAUUUCUGGUCCCUACACAAACAAUGUUGAUUCAACAAUUCAUACAAGUAUACAGGUAGGUCCUCGUUUGUGUUCCUUUCAGUGGUUUCUUAUAAUUAUGACAAUGAUGAUAAUGUAAUAGUGAAAUACGUUAUUUAUGUACUUUUGUUCUUAUUAUAUUUGCAGGACAGGCAGGAUGAUUUGAGAUCUAUGGUUCCACCGUCAGUUGCACCCAGAAUCAAUUCAACAGUGUGCGCCAAUACAGUCCCAUAUAAUGGUCCUGAUCCUAGAAAUCCUCCUGUUAUGCAGGUUUCAGAUUGUAAUACUGCUUUCAAUAGUUGCCCAGUGCCUCCGGUGAAUAAUAUCCAACAACCUGAUGGCCCGAACUAUCACAAUGCCUACCCUCCACAACCUAUCCAUCCUGCACCUACAAAUCAGUUUGCAUAUGUUAAUUCAGCCCUGCACGUGAAUUUGAUGAGGGAUGCACCCCCUCCAUACACUGACAGAUACUCUUCACUAAACUUUGAUGGUGCAAAUUAUUAUCACAGCCAUGAGAGAAUGAACCUGGCCCCAAAUGAACCUAGAGAGAGCUGGAGGUAUCCUCCACCACCUUUUUCUGGUAAGUUUCUUGAAUCAUGUUUUGUAUCAGUCUACUGUUAUCAUGCCUUGAUUUGUCUGAUGACACCUGAUUCUUUAUAUUUUCUCCUAACAGGACCCUGGUAUGCUGAUAACGCCAAUUCAUCGUAUGGCCAUGGCCAUGGUUCUUAUGGUGGGCCCCAAUGUGAGCCAACAAGGUUUCCAAACGAGGGAUGGGGCUUCCGCCCCCCUCCAAUGGAUCACAGAAACUUCUUUCCUGGCAGACCACCUGCAGAAGGUAUGGUUCCCAUUGGAUCAAGAGGUUCACAUUUCUCCUGUGAGAUUGUGGUUCAAAAGUUAGACAAAGCUCUCUCUCUCUCUCUCUCUCUAUAUAUAUAUAUAUAUAUGCUUUUGUGUGUGUGUGUGUGUGGAUCAUUUUGCAUUUGCAUACUUUCUAGAUACCCUGCAUUCAGGUAGGUUUAGGUCGGGCCUGAUACUUGAAGUCCCUUUUAUUUGUUUCAGCUCCUUGCAUUUGGCAGCCAAGAUGACCAAAUAUUAAUCAGUUGCUUUAAUUGGUACGUCAUAUUUUAGUGAUAGUUUUAUCAUUUCUUUCAGAAGUUCUCUUUCUCACUGGUUUUGUUGUCAUGAAUAGGUAUUAAAACCCCCUUUUUUUCUUUUGGCAUGGGUUCUGCGGCUUGUUGAAAACAGCUGGGAGUUUUUGCAUGCAAUGAACCGAUAAUAGGAUGAGUUGAGCCGAAGAUGAGCGUGUCGGCAUUGCUGAUUCUGAUUUUGUAAAUAUGUAAAAUCUACCACCGGGCAGGACAGUAUGAUUGGGAGAGUAAGGCUAUCAUCGUGUAUCAAAAUUUUAUUUUGUUUUUGUUUUCUUUUUGCAUAAUUUAUUCUCAUCAGCGCCCCAAUUAAAGACCUUUAGCAAUUUUUUAAUCGGGCCAUUCCCUAUCAACCUUUUGUUCCCUAUACUUGGUUGUAACAGUAAUAUUUUAUUAAUACAGUGGCAGGCAGGCAGGCAGAGUUUCAAUGGAUGAAUCUAGUUGUAUUCUUAUUGUUGAUGAACUGUUCUUAUAUAUACGGGAAAAGAGUCGUAAAGUCUAACCUAAAAACUAGGAUUUUUAUAUUUCAUCUAUAAAUAAAUUCGGAGCUUUAUAAUUUGCUUGAGUUAUGCUUUUAGGAUUGAUUUUAUGAUUAAGUUUGUGGUGGUGCGCUUGAUAGGGGAUAAUAUUUUUCUUUUCGAGAGUCAGUUAUGAUUUAUUGGUUAUAGAGCAGUUGCUAAUCCGGUAUUGUGCGUGGGCAAUGUGGUCAUUUCUGAAGAAUUAAUGGGGAGUAUUUAUACUUGUAUGUACUUCUAGGGCUUGAUUUUAACUAUACUAAUGAAAAUAGGAUAAGACAUACAGCUAUAAGUGUCCUAGCAUUGAUGGAUGUUGAAAUUAUUGUGAUAUUAUCUGUCGUAAUUUAAUGUCAAAUUAGGUUCUCUGGCAUACUUGAUUAGCUUUUUGUCAAGAAAUAUAAGAGUAUUUUCAAUAUUUUUUUUUAUUUUUAGUUCUUAAUGCUAAUAAUAAUUUUUCUUACAUUUUGAUCCUUUUGCAAAGCUAUUUCGUUGGGAGUUUAAUGGUUUAUUUUAGUGUAGGAAAAUGAUUAUGGUCAAAUCAUAAAGAAAAUAUCAAUUGUUUUGGUUGUCGUGAUGUCGAUCGGGAGCAAAUUUUCAAUCAGAAAUCAACUUGGAGCAAUCUGUCAAGAAUGUUGCAACAUCAGGUGUGUUGUGUUGCUACACAGCCCCGAUGUCUCGACUCCAAGUCUUCGGGGUUGCUACUCCAUUGUUGAUGGUUGAAGUGAAGGAGUUGAGGUCAUUAUUGAGGGUAUCGUAACACCAGCUAGCCUGUGUCGUGUAGUCUGUGCCACAACAUUGAGAACCCUCAAGGAAAGAUUGUACCUAUUGUAGAAGUUGCAACACCAAAAACUGAGUGUCGUGACAUUGAAGCCUAACGAGGUGAAAAAUAUGUAAUUUUGUCUAACAUCAACUUAAUGCACUCCAUGGGUAUUUUUGUUAAAUACCAAAGGCACACUUGAUGCCAAACAUAAACGAGUCUCUUUUUUUAGCUCCCUUUAUCUUCUUUUAGCUCUCUUUUAUUCUUUUCACCAUUUUUUUAGGAUUUUAAUUUUUUCUUUCUUAGCUUAGUUAGUAGUUGGCAAUUUUUUAUUUUUAUUGUAGCUUAUACUUUCUUUCAAUUAGAUACAAAACUUUCUCUUGUUAUCUUGAUUUCUCUUUAAAGUACCUAAUAGAUUUUAUUUUUGAUAACUUUUAAAAGUGUAAAAAUCUAAAUUGUAAUUGUGCGUUCGUCACAAUUAGUGUUUCUAUCAUCUCCAAAAGAGACUCUAUCAUGAGUCAUUAAGAUUUUAUCAACCUUGUCUUUUUAUAUUUUAUUUGAUGAUUCAUUUUAGCAUGAAUUUGGUUGAUAUUUGUAUAUUGGUGAUGGGUAGUUGGUUGAUUGAAAUAUUGCAUGGCUAGUUUUUGGGUUAGAGGCUAAAUCAUAAAAAUUGGACUAAAUCGAAUAAAUUUCAAAAUUUAGAAUUGACCCCCAGGUGAACAUUUAGAUAGGUGAGAUGAGAGGAGAACUUAUUGCAAAGCAAUUUGAUUGUCUCAAUUUAGUUUAGUGAGGUCGAGAGAUAAGUCAGACUAAAUCGUCUAAUAGGGUAAAAUGGUGAUUGAAAGGUAAAAUUGAACCAAUUAGGAGUUGCUCCUAAGUGUAGUUUAUUAACCUUUGAUGUUAAUUUGUUGUAAUAUAAUACUUAAUGAUUAGUUAGCUAGACUGUUUAGUUGCAUGCAUUAUCAUUGUUAGUCACUUUAUCGCCCAAUCUCUCUUGGGUUCAAUCCUUGAAAUACUCGAGGUGUUCCAUUGUAACACUUACAAAUGUUAUAAAUGACCUGUCACACUUGCAGAUAAGCCGCCUUAAUUCUUGAUAUUUUAUGUUGAUUCUUUUCUCGGUGUUUCUACGUCGUGGCACGAUCAAUUAAUAGAUGGAAUAGUUGCUUUAAUUCUUUAAAGCUUUAACUUUGGCAAUUUUGAUUGACUUUAACUUGUUUUUAUUAAAUGAAUGUUCAAUUGUAAGAUAUUCUGAUUUAUGCAUAUUGAUUUCUAAUAUUACCAAAAAUUUAAGAAUACUUUUAAAAGAGAAAUUGUUAAAACAUUUUCGAUGUAUAUAGAUAGUAUUCCAGUAACUAUAACUGUAAAGGUGUUAAUAAUCAAAAGUUAUAACUUCAGUUAUUAAUAAAGAGUUAUGACAAUUCGUAAUAAUGAAUUAUGUUUCUUAAAUAUGACGACCUAUAUGAAGAGACAUGAGAAUUCAAGUAAUCAUUAUGUUUAUUUAAGAUAUGUAAAUAUUUAGAAAAGACACAUAUUAGAUUAUUUAAGAUAUGUAAAUAUUUAAAAAAUCUGAAAAUGGUUCUUUUAUCUCUCCAUCUUCUAUUAUUAUUAGAUUAUUCUAUAAAAAAAUUACUAUAAAAAUUAUUUAUUGAAAUUGAUUUUCUUGCUAUUCUCUACUUAGUACUUAGUGGACUAUUUUCGUUACUGCAAAACACAAAUAGCCAUCAAGCUUCAUUGUAUCAUCGAGAUUCAUUUACUUAAAAUUCAUUUGCACACCAAAAAUAAGCAAGAGAAAACAUAACCUUAAAAAUCGUGACUUGAUACACACCUUAGGACCUUAUCUUAUUAAUUAGUUUUUCUAUUCAAAUAAGUUCUUAUUCCUUUCGCAUGUUUGAGAUUUUCUAGAUUCUUCACCAAUAAUUCAAAGGUUUCACUCCAACAGGUUGAUUAACGUGAAUUAGAAAGAAAUAGCUUGACAUGUUCCAUGAGUUUUCCAAAUAGAAUUUUAGCUAAUUUUUGUUCCUAAAAGCUUCUAAGUUUAUGUCUGCCACAAGUGAUCGAAUCUAAGAUGUUUCAUUGUAGUUAAUUUUGUGGCUACAGGAAUAAUAUACAUAUUUACUUUUAGCGACGAAAGAGAGUAAUUUACAAAAUGACCAUCAUUUCACAAAUUUUCUUUCGUUAAUAAUGAAGAAAACCUAUUUAUCAUAAUACGAUUAAUAAAAUAUUGGCAGGAUCAUAUACUUGUGUUGUCCAUUAGAAGUCAUCAAACUCUUCAACAAUUUAAUAUUGACUCUUAUAAGCAUUUUAUCUCCUAAUUCUAUCGAGUGCCUAAGUGCUUAAAGAGUUGACAAUGACGGAUUUAUAGAGCGAGAGUGUCUCACCCAUCAAGCAAAUAUCAUAUUUGCACUUGGUGAGAUUUAAACCUAUGCCCUAUAGUGGUGUCUUUGGAAUCGAAUUAGACCAGCAAAUCAAACUUGUUAGAUCUAGAAUCAAUUGGUGUAUCAUUUUGAGAAAAGAGAUUAAAUCAACCUUUGAGUGAACACUCGAAAUUAGAAAAAAAAAUCAAGAAAAAUCGAUGGUUGAAUCAAUUUAUAAUUUUUUUAAAUUUUUUUAAUAUUUUAUUAAUUUUAUGAAUAUAAUUGUUUGUUUAAUUAUUGUUGUGUUAGCAAUUGAACCGAUUGGAUUAAUUGAACCAGGAAUCAGUGGUCUUACCAAUUCAACCAUCAAUCUAGUUUCAAAAGCAUUGAUAUAUAGAGCAUUGUUGGGUAAGUAUGCUACCACUUGGGUGAGGCCCUAGUACCUGCCAUUAUCGUCUCUUUAGUCUUCCUUUUUAAGACUCGAGUUCUUGAAAAAGUUGAGAGACAAAACUCCUACCAAGGAAAAUACUGAACGUGUUGAAGGUUUGUCGACUCUAGACGGGCAACACUUCACAAACUUAUCUUAGAGGAUUCGGAAAUCUCUUAACAAAAAAAAAUUAUCUUAAAGGGAGGCUUGUUUCUAGUGGAGAUUUUGUCUCUCGACUUUACCAAGUGCCUGAAGAGGUGUCAAUGGGGAGUUCACAUAGCAUGAGCAAUCGUCAUAUCCUGAAAGCCAAAACAUGUUUGUCAUGCAUGGUUAUACUUAUAGCUUAAAAGGCGUUGGGUGAGAAUGUGACCACUUGGGUUAACAAAAGUAGUAGCAUAGUACCUAACAAUGGGCAUGAGCUCAAAUUCCAACAAUCACAGUAUAUGAGAUUUCUUUAGUGGGUGAGGCAAUUUCAUUUUAUAAAUUCGGUAUCAUUGCCUCUAUAGACACUUGGGCAUUCAAUAAAAUCAAAAGACAAAACCUCCACUAAUGUAACACCCCUAUCCCGUAACCGUUGUCGGAAUAGGGAAGGGGUAUUACCAGACUUGUAACUCAUGUCAGAACAGUAAAAUUUUAAACUUUUUCUUGAAAUAAAGAUCAUUCAUUUAGAUAAAUGCUAAAUACAGCCAGGGAUAAAAUUAAACUUCUAUAAGUACACAUUCAAAAGAUGCCAUUUUCGCAUGGCUUAUAUACAUUAACCAGAAUAUUAUUCCGCUACUAGUCUAUUCUAUACAUGCCAUAAAAUAAUCCAAAACAUAGCAGUACCAAACAGUGGAUAGUGAUAGUGUGACGAGUUGUUGACGAUCCCCGAGCAAAUAGGCCAAAUUUGAUAAUCUAUAAAACAGAGAAACGUAACAACAGAGUAAGCUUUCAAGGCUUAGUAAGUCUUAAGUAAAACAAUUAACUUUGCUGGAUUAAAUACAUUUAUAACUUACACAAAAUCCAAGUGAAGUCUCGGUGGGCUUAAUAAGCCUACACAAGUACAUAAUACAUACCUGGCCAACUUAAUGUGCUGAACAUCCGUAAUUGUUGAUUUAUUACUAAGUCGCUUAAGAUUAGGCCUUACACAAAUCACGUUUUGAAAUGUCAAGAUAUAUCACCAUUCGGUCAAAUAGAUUAAACCCUAUGUAUGCACAUGUAAUUCAUCUAUUUCAUCCCAAUUUAAGAGUAUAUACCCCUUCGCAUUUAAAAACAUCAAUGCUACUUUUAGUUUAAUCAGUCGAACUAAAACAUAACACUAUAAUCACAUUCGGUUUCCAUAUUUGGAAGCACAUAUUCAUGUUUUCAUCUUACAUAAACAAUUUGAUAGAGUCAAUACUCGUUGAAUAUAACUUAUAACCAUCUCAUAAGUGAUUCCCCAAGUACAUUUGUAAUACAAACGAAAUCGAGUUCACUUAGCAAGUAAGUAUCACUUACCAUAUACUUAACCUUUGUACACUUACCGUUUCCAUAGUUACCAAUUACCAAUUCAAUCUUUCAAUACCUCUAACCACUUAAUCAUAUGCACUCAUUUCGUGCACAUACAUAAAUGUAUAUAUGUAUUUAGGAGCUUAGUUCUUUAGUUCAUAUUCACAUUAAUAUUUCAAAUAAUCAAAUCAUGACAAGUAUUAAAGUUUCGUAUACGUAUGUAAAGGACCAAACAUAUUCCUUAUCACAUAUACAUAAAUGAACAAACGCAAUCCAUACCUUGUAUUUGCACAUCCUGCCGAAUACAACUCAAAUUAGUAAAUUUUUAUGAAACUAAUUAAAUCCUUAUCGUCAAGAUAUACAAAUGGUCUUCGGUUUGAAAUAAUUCAAGGCACUUAGCCAUAGCCUGCUAGGUUUAAAAAAAAUCCGAAUCCAAUUACCAGUACCAAGCCUGCGGGACUUUAAGCCCGAAUAUAUCAUCAUAGUUAAUUCACAAAGUUGUAUACACAUCAAUUCACAUACCUUCGAUUUUUCCAACACGGAAACACAUUAAUAAGGUAUCACUUCAUUCGAACUUAUUCGUAUCUCAAUAUAGCUAGUCUCAUUUCACAAGAGCCAUUAGGCCACAUCACGUAGUUAGCGAGUCUUAACCCGGAUACUUUCCAAAUUCCAUAUAUAUUUAAUCACAUGUUACCACAUUUCACACAAACUAUCACCAUUGUAAUUCAUUAAACUCAUUCGAAUAUAAGCAUAUAGCAUGUACCUUAACUUCAUGUCAUAAUAUCAUUCGACUUUAAUACAUAUUUAUAUAUAUAUAUCCCUUUCAAUAAACUUCCAACGAAAAUACACACAUGACUUACAUUCUUCUCAUGACAACCAUUCGGCUAAACAACAUAUAAGUCACUACACCUUCAAUUUAUAAAACUAUUAACACAUAUUACAUAUACAUUGCUUACGUUUAUAAAAUAGCUAUUCGGAUAACUUGCACACAUUUAAAUUUUAGCCAUUUUGGCCUCACCGCCUAUAUAUUUAUCUUGUACAUCAAUUCAGCAAUAGCUUAUAAGCAACUCAAUUAGUUUCAUCAAUGUUUACAACAAAAUCACAGAUUCAUCACAAGCUGUUUUCUUGAGCAACAAUCAUUAAAUUAUUUUUAACUGGAGCUACGAAACUUCAAAUGAAGUGCCGUAAAUUUUUCACAAAAAUAGACUCAUAUAUCUUCUAUCCAUAAAAUUUUCAGGAUUUUUGGUUUGGCCAAUAAAAACCAGAAUUUUCUUAAAGUUUCCCCUAUUUCACUGGUUGACUAUACUGACCACUCUUCACUACGAAUCAAAUUUCUCAUUGUAAAGAUUUCAAAAUAUGUUCUUGUUUAUUUCAUUUGAAACUAGACUCAUUAAGGAGUCUAAGGAUAUAAAUUUUAUCUUAUAACAAUUUUUUUACUAUUUAUAAUGAUUUUCUAAAAACAGAACAGGGGAUUUCAGAUUCAUUCUGACACUGUCACACACAACUUUAAAUAUCUCUCUAUAGGAAAUUCCUUUGCUUGCAUUGUUUAUUUUAUAAGAAACUAGACUCAUUGAGCUUUGAUUACAUAUUUUAUUCAGUCUCUAAUUCCACUCCAACAAUUUAUGGUGAUUUUCAAAAAUCACGCUACUGCUGCUGUCCUAAGCAGAUCAUUACAAUUUACUCUUAAAUUUCCAAGUCCAAACACUUAAGAACUUACCAUUUGAGUUUAAAACAUAUCAUCAUAUAUAAGUACUUCUUAUUAUCACAUACAAAUCAUAAUUUAAAUAUCACUUUUCUAAUAACCAAUCGGCUAAGGCUCAUAGAAGUAACUUAUUCCUUAUCAUUUUACUAUAGGUAAUUACACCAAUUCAUAGUCCCAUCUUUACUCGUAUUCCAUAUCAUUCUUCAUUAUAACUAAACUUAUAUGCUAGAAACUUACCUUAAGAGUUGUUGACGACUAUAAUUCUAUGGCUAUUCGCUUAGUUUUGUCUUCCCUUUUUCCGACUUUUGUCCUUGAUGCUCUUGAGCUAAUGAUUAACAAAUUUACAAAUAAAAAAAAUUCUACCAUGACAAUUAUAGCCGAAUAACAUAGACUAAGAAAUUAAUGUACAUAUAAAACGUAUACAUAUAUAAUUAGCUCAACCUUCAAUAAUUCAAUUUGCUAAUUAAAACAUAGAAAUUUAUAACCAAUUCAAAAUUCCUUAACAAUGGCCGAAUGUAAGCUUUACAUGAAUUUUGAAAAUCCUUACAAACAUCACUUAUUUCUUAAAAUUAAAACUCAAUUCUACCAAUUCAAAACUCCAUUCAGCAAUUAAACAUGAAUUACGAGCUUUAAAACUAAAUUUCCACAUUUCUCUUAAAUGGUCGAAUGUCCUAUGAUCACUUAAUCUAGAAUUAAAAUCAUGGGUUAUCUACCACAUGUCAUUAACAACCAAAUUUCAUAAUCAAUUUGACAAAAAUCACAUUACACCCCUUUAGAAUUAGAUCUAUGCAUAUGGCCGAUUAUUUGAGCUUCACUCCCUUAUUCUUUCUUUUCCACGGCAAUGAAGAAGAAGAAUGAACCAAACUUUGUUUUUUUUUUUUUCACCCCAAAAUAUUUUAUUUAUCUUUUCUUUAUAAAUUAAGGCCAUAUAAUAUUAAUAUACUUACUUAAAUUCAUUUUCUAUGCACCCUAAUCAUUAUGGCCGGCCACUACUUCUCAAAAUGGGGUAUUUGACAUGCAAGUCCCCAUUUUGAGAAUCAUGCACUAAUUAGUCUUCAAAUUAAUUCAUCACUUUUUUUUUGUUUCUCACAUAAGCCCUUUGACUAAAAUUCACAUUCAACUAGCAGAAUUUAAGCAUCAAAAUUUCACACAUGCACUAUCACACAUAGUAGAUAUGAAUUUUAAUAUUUAAUAAAUUUUAUAACUCGAUUUUGUGGUCCCAAAACCACAUCUCGACUAGGGUCAAAUUAGGGAUGUCACAACUAAGAACAAUACUAAACAUGUUGAAAGGUUCAUUGACACCAAAUAAACAACACUUCGUACACUUCUCCUUAAGAAGUCUAACACCCUUCAACAAAGCUAAUGCUCUAUUUAUUAGUUAAUGGUAAAAAAAUUCAAAUCAAGAAAAGAAUUUGCUUAUAUGAAGUUAUGUCUAUAUAUAUAUAUAAAUGAUUCUUAACAAUAAUAAAGAGAAUGAGAUAUACUUUUCGAUAUUUGAAUUUAGUUUUUUUUUUUUACAUUGAUAUUUAUGUUUCUUACCAGUAUUGUACCAAAAAAGAGUAUAGGAACUAAAAUUCACAUUUAAAUAUAGUGGGAUAAAAAACGUAAUAUGAUUGGAGCCAAUUUAUACUCAACACAUAUUAUACCUAAUAAAAGUAUAGGGACUAAAUCUCAAUUUUAAGCAUGAUAAAGGGAUCAAAUCCAUAAUAUGAUCAAAGAUAAUCUAUACCUAACACAAUCACCCCUAAUAUAUAUAGUACAAUAAAAAAUAAAUAUUUGAUACUACUUGAUCUAUUUUUUAUUGAUUUAUAUCUCACAAAUUUGACUAUUAUAUUUAUUUUUCUAUAUUAAUUCACUGUCCAUAUGAAUACGAGUAAAAAAAUUUUUACAAAACAUGUGUUACCGCCUUUUGCCUUUUUUAAGAUUAUAUGACGAUGUUAAAUUUCAAUUUUUUGCCCUCACGGAAUAUUGAGAUUUAAUAUCUAUACUUUAAUUUUUAAUAUAAUUGAGUACUUAAAUUGUUAUAAUGUCAUUAAUUAGUUUAGAUAUUUUAUUUGAUUAAAAUAUUAAUGUGAAUUUUAAAAAAUUAUUAACACCAUUAAAUUUUUUUUAUCAAAUUUAAGUCUAUUACAAUAUUUUUUUCUUGUUACAUAGGUACUAAAUGAGUUUUUCAGAAACAAUUCAAAACAUCAGACUCGCUAAUUCAAUUAAAAAAUUGUAACAAUAUUAAUAACUGAACCUAAAUUUUUAAAUAUAAAAAGUAAAUAAAUUAAAUUCCUAAAAAAUAAAAAUAUAGACUCUAAAUUUCAAAUAUAUAAAAAAUAUUCAAACUUAAAUUAACCUAAUACGGAACAAGGUGGAAACACAAAACCAUACCGAUUAAUAUUUUAGUAUAACUUAGAUUUUAAUUAAAAAAAUUAUUUUACACUUGAAUGAUAUUAACUACAGGUUAAUUGUUUUUUGAAUCAAAUUAUAUAGUAAAAGUUUGUAGGUUAAAUUCUGUUUUAAGCCCUUUCACUUUUUAAAUAUUUUUAAAUAUUUUAAUUGAAUCGUUAAAAUUCUUUUAUUAAAUAUAUUAGUGUGAUAUAUUAAAAUUUUAGGGGAAAAAUUCACUUAGUAAUCAUAUAGUAAAAGAAUUAAUAUUGUAAUUGACUUAAAUUUAAUAUAGUAAAAGAAUUAAUAUUGUAAUUGACUUAAAUUUAAUAAAGAAAUUUAAAGUGGUUAACAAUUCUUGAAAGCUGUAUAGGGUUUAGCUAGUACAGGACCAAACUGAUAAAAGAAAAUACAAAUACCAAAAUGAGAAUUUAGCUAUAGUCUAGGGCCAAAAAAGAUAUUAAGCCUUUAUUAAACCCUAAUUUUUUGUUCACUUGUUUGAAAAGUCUUUACUCUUUCUUCCAUCGUCAUCUUCCUGCCAUCUCUUCUCUCUCUCGUCUCUGCAAAUCAGGCUUUUUUUUUUAAUUAUCUUUUGCUUCUCUUCUCGCACUGCCGUUUCCGCUGGUUUUUAGAGAAAUGAUCUUUAGAGCCAGAAAUCAUUCUCCGUCGAAUUUCAUACCCCUUUCUUCUCUUGCCCUUUUCUUUACCAAACCAUCUUUUACUUCAACUACAUUGAUAAGUCCAUUAUUACCCGCAAAUACCCCCCAAAUUCCCAACAACUUUUCACACCUCAUCUUCUUCACCAAUCAUUUCUCCUCUCAACCUACGGCCACAACUUCAGCGACUAAAAAGCUUCAAAAACAUCUGCAGAAGCAGGAGCCAUCUUCUCCUAAACCUUUGACCCUGAACCGAGAUGGAAACUAUGAUGAUGGCACUCCCUACAAUGUUGUUUGCCCAGGAUGUGGGGUUCACAUGCAGGACUCAGACCCUAAGCUUGUUGGGUUCUUCAUCAAGCCUCCAACAAAGACCAAGGACCCGACGCUCAAAACAAGUUCCCGCCACUUGGUACCUGUUUCAACAGAACCUGAAUUCACAGCCUUUCUCAAGAAAGGUCUGAUUUUGGAGGAAAAACGUGAAAGUCCUGACCUUGAAGAAGAAAACCUAGAUAAAGAAAUGCCUGAAAAGCCUGUGGUUUGUGCUAGAUGUCACUCAUUGCGCCACUAUGGUAAGGUGAAGGAUCCAACGAUGGAGAACUUAUUGCCAGAAUUUGAUUUUGAUCAUACAGUCGGGAGGAGAUUGGGAUCAGUUUCAGGAGGUCGGUCGGUGGUGUUAAUGGUGGUUGAUGCAUCAGAUUUUGAUGGAUCGUUUCCAAGAAAAGUGGCAAAACUUGUUUCUGACGUAACUGAAGAGAAUUACUCAGCUUGGAAACAGGGAAAAUCCGGAAAUGUGCCUAGGGUUGUGCUUGUAGUUACUAAGAUUGAUCUUUUACCUAGCUCAUUGUCACCUACGCGAUUUGAGCAUUGGGCAAGGCAGAGAGCGAGGGAAGGUGGAGCUAGCAAGAUUGCAAAAUUGCAUUUUGUGAGUCCUGUGAAGGAUUGGGGGGUGAAAAACUUGGUGGAUGAUGUCGUGGAGAUGGCAGGGCCUAGAGGUACUGUGUGGGCAGUGGGUGCCCAAAAUGCUGGAAAGAGUACAUUGAUCAAUGCCAUUGGCAAGUGUGUUGGUGGGAAGAUUGGUUUCUUAACAGAGGCACCCGUGCCUGGGAGAACUUUGGGCCUAGUAAGAGUGGAAGGGGUGCUUCCGGGACAGGCAAAGUUAUUUGAUACUCCAGGGCUUUUACAGCCACAUCAGAUGACGACUAGGUUGACAAGGGAGGAGCAGAAGCUUGUCUAUAUUAGUAAGGAGCUGAAACCAAGGACGUAUAGAAUCAAGGUGAAACUCAAAACAAGUAGCAUUUGUCUACGUUCAAUAUAAUGUGCUACCUACCUAAAUUUCUAGCUGGAAUUUGCUGUUGCGAUGGUCUGUAAAUAGAUUUUUCUGCCCAUUUUUUGGUCAGAACAGAUUCUUUAUUUUUGCUGGCUGGUGUUUUGUUUCAGAUAUUCACUGGAUAAUUCUGGGUUUCACGUUUUGGUUCCUUUUUGUAGUUUAAUGCUAAUAGAUUCAAAUUUGACAGGCUGGUAACACAGUUCAUAUUGCUGGAUUAAUGAGGUUGGACAUUGAUGAGUCAUCUGUGGAAUCACUAUAUGUUACGGUUUGGGCAUCCCCUUAUCUACCAUUACACAUGGGGAAAACUGAAAAUGCACAAAGAAUACAAGAGGAUCAUAUUGGUCAUCAGUUACAGGUAUGGCAUCUCAAUGGAGUAAUAUCUUUCACUUGAUACAAGUGAUGCAAUGCAAAAAUGCUUUUUUGCCAUUCUGCUCUAUUCAGAUUUUCACUUUGCAAUAUGAUAUUCUUCCUGGAAUUGAAACAGCCUUGGGAAGUGCCGCAAAGUUUAUGUAGUUAUCCUUUUACAGCAUUUUUGCUUGUGUAUAAUGUUACCCUUGACACUUUCUGUCUGCUGCUUGCUUUUAGCCACCAAUUGGAGAGCAACGAGUAGGAGAGCUUGGCAGUUGGGUGAGAAAGGAAUUCCAUAUUUCGGGUAAUAGCUGGGAAUCAAGUUCAGUGGACAUUGCUGCUGCUGGUAUUGGUUGGUUUACUAUUGGACUUAAAGGAGAGGCAGUUUUAGGGGUUUGGACCUAUGGAGGAGUUGGCGUUGUUCUUCGCAAUGCUUUGCUUACUCAUAGAGCACAGCUUUUCGAAGAGGCUGGAUUCACAGUCUCUAAAAUCGUGUCCAAGGCUGACCAAACUUUGAAUAAGUCACAGAAGCAAAUUGAAAAGAAGAAACGAAGUGACCAGAAAAUAGCCAUAGCAGCUGAAGUUUAAUUCCAGUUCAAGUUAUCGCCAAACCUGUCUGCAAAAGAUCUGUAAACAUGGGAAGAAAAAUCCCGACAUGAACUGUCCGAGGAAAGAAAAAGGUAGCAAACAGUCUCAAGCCACUUUGAAAAAUACAGAAUACUUAUCUGGAGCUUCCUUUGAGGCAAUCAUCUCUUAAGAAUUUUUCGCCAGUUAACAUAGACCCACGCAUCAUGCUGAAGAGAUGAGCUUAUAGAAUGCAUACGCCUGGCACGCUAGUCUGUUCAGUGAGAAACAAGGAUGCUUUUGGUAUCGCCUUUACAAUUUUGAAAAUUUGCUGUAUCUGUUUUCAUGGUACAAAUAUAUGUUUUUUAUGGUACAUCUUACAGAGGCAAACCCUUUUGAUUUUGGCUUACAUAUAAAAAGCCAUUAGGAAAAUGAAAAAAAAUUGGUCAACUAAAAUAAUCUCCUCUUCACUGACUAUUAUGACUGUUAAAAUAAAUUGAUGUACCAAUCAAAUAGUGACAUAUGGAACAUCUAAUUUAAUGUAAUAUUUUUCUAACAAAAAUAAAAUAUAUAUAUCAUAAAAUUUAUAAAAGAAUCAAAAUAAAUAGGAAAGAAUAUAUAAUUUAUUAAAUAUUAAAAAAGUUAAAAUUAUAUAAACUUAUAAGUAUUAUAAAAUAAAAAAACCUAAUAAAUUCAAAUAAAUUAUUAAAAAAUUUAUAACAUUAAUAAAACAAAUUUAAAAUAUUUAAAAUUUUAUAUAAACAUAUUAAAAUUCUAAUAAAAUCAUAUAAAUUACUUAAAAAUAUAAAAAGUAUUAAAAUUGAUAUAAAAUUAUAAAAAAAUCAUAAAAACUUGAACUGGACCAAAUUAGUUGGUUGGAUCGAUAUCUAUAAGAGUAUCAAUCCAAAGAAAACCAUUAGAUCAGUUGACUUGGAACUGAACGGUUGGACCGAUUCUUUUAUUCUUUUAUUCUUAAUGGUUGUUUAAUUGAACUAGACAGAUCAAUUGAACUAAUAAACUAGUGGCCUGGUUAGUUUGACCACCAACUCAAUCCUAAAAACCUUUGUUAGAAUAUUUCAUUUUGACAUAUGUUAAUAGUUGAAAAAUAAAAUUUUGGUUUAAGGAAAAUAUUAAAAAUAUAAAAAAUUAGUUUGACCGCCCAGUUCCCAAGUCAAUCGAUCUAAUGGCAUUCUCCAUAUUGGUACCUUUGUCGAUUUCAAGCUAACCGGUUCAGUUCAAGUUUUUAUAAUUCUUUUAUAAUUUUUAUAAGUUUAUAUCAAUUUUAAUUUUUUUAAUAUUUCUUUAUACUUUUUUUAUAUAUUUUUUUACAACUUUUUAUUAUUUUUUAAGAAUUCUAAUACAUUUUUUAAUUGUAAAUAUUUUUUAAAAAAUUAUUAAUUUUUAUAAUUUAUUAUAUUUAUUAUAUUUUAUAAUAUUUAUAAGUUUUUAUAAUUUUAAUAAGUUUAUAUCAAUUUUAAUAUUUUUAAUAUUUAAUAUUUUUAUUUUUAUAUCUUUUUUUAUAAUUUUUCUAAUUUUUUAAUAUCUUCAUGGAGAAAAUAUUAGAUUAAACCAAAAACUGGCACAUAUCAACCUCUGAUUAAUCUAUCAAUUUAUUUUAGCGGUCAAUGUAAUCAAUAACAAAAAUUAUUAACGGAGAGACUUAAUCGAUUAUUUUAAUUAAUUGAAAGAGAUUAAUUUAGCGCGAAUUUAAUAUAAGAAUUUAUUUAAUUUAUUUAUAUUUUUAAGGGCUUUUCUGACAUAAUUUUUUUUUCUUGAAAGUUUGAAACAUCAAGCAUGAUAUAUUAAGGAAUGAUGCUAUGAUAUUUGUAUGAUCUGCCUUAUGGGUGGAUAAAAAUGCAGAACGCAACUUGAAAGACCAUUAUUAUAAUUGUUUAGUACCAUUGCAUCAAAUAUUUUUCCUGGAAGUGUUUAAAUCAUCAAGGGUUGUAUUCGAGUAUCUUUAGAGAAUUUUUUUAGGGGCACAUAACUAGGGAAGGAUCUGUUUGCAAAAUAAAUAUAAUUUGCUCAAAAAUUUUUGUGGCAAUUGCAUUGCAUGUUUUUAUUUUCAUAUUUUAGCUUAUAGUUAUAAGUGCGAACAACAUGAAGCCGCUCAGUCGUCCAAAUUAUGGGUCAUUUUGAACGAUGAUAACCUUUUGCACCUUUCCACACCCUUUUUUUUAUUGUAUUCUUUAUAAUAUGGAUACUAUAAAAAUUAUUAAAAUAUAAAAAAAAAUUGCAUUAUCACAUUUGUUAUACUCUCGUUUGCAUCAUAGCACAUGAUAAGCUAGAAAGGUGUCCAAACAGCAAGCAAGUUGUCAGCUAACCGGGAGGUCAUCGACGAGUUUUCCCCUUUAGGACGACCAUUUGUACAAGUAUAGGCUAUUUGUUGUUUGAGUCUUAGAGUCUUCAUCGGGAACGUGAAGUCAUUGAUCACCAAACACCAUGUGGGCUCUAGUGCCCUAUUCCAUCAAGUCAAGAUGAAUGACAAGAUUUAUCCCGUCUGUGACAUCCUCGUCUAAUAGAAAACACCCCCUCCUACAUGUUCUGUAAUGAUGAUUAAAUGGCAAGCCUAACAUGUUAACACCAUCUUACAUAGGACCAUCACCUAUAAAUAUCUCCAAGAACGAUGAAUGACAGGAUCUAUCCCAUCUCUGACAUUCUCGUCCAAUAGAAAACACCCCUUCCCACAUGUUCUUUAAUGAUGAUUAAAUGGCAAGUCUAACACAUUAACACCAUCUUACACAGAACCCUCACCUAUAAAUAUCUCUAAGAACGAUGAAAAAAGGACUAACUUUUCUAAGAUACUAAGUUUACAUUUUUUUCAACUUAUCUUCAACUCUUAGCGUUAACACUCUCUUCGUCUUUACCCUCUAUAACUUCUGGCUCCCCGCACCAACUAGGUUAAUCGGCUUCCAAAACAACCAUCACUCUCUUCUCAAUAUUCCUUCCUUAUUGUAUCAUUGUAUCAACAAUUGGUACAGUGAGCGUAGACAACAUGGUUUCACAAUCUCAAAAUGGCAUCUUACCUGAGCAAACCAAUUAGACCAAUGACCCAGCCAACCAAUUCAAGUUGCUCCACUCACCACCCUCAUUUCACCUGCCUUAGGAACUCCCACUAGCUUGAACUCUACUCAGACUCCUUCUUUUUCCCCUAUAGGAACCCCUUUACUAUAUGCGAAUGCCCUCCUCCUCACUUUAGAGCAAAUAAUGAAGGCUCCGAAGGAUCCUCUAACCCUAAUCCUGCCACUUUUGCCACACCAAUAGGAACCACCCUUUUAGUUGUUACGAUUCCCAUAGUUUCUACAAUGCUUCAGCCACAACCUGUUGUGUUCCCUCUUGGACCAUUUGAUUACAUAGCUUAUUGUUUGCAAAAACCUGUAACUUGUCUUACAACCACACCUACUCCACAAACCAUGAUUCCCACUCCAUUGGACCAAGGUUCUUAGGCAUCACAUCCCCACGACUCAAAAACCUAAGAGAAGACAUUUGGAUGAGCAAUUUUCUUAGUAAGAGCAUUGCUUUAAGGAACAACAAGAACAAUAGUGCAUCAUUGACCAAAAGAACGUUCAGAAUGAGCAACUUAUUGCGAAGUUAAGAGCCACAUGGAAGGUCCUAAGAAGAGAAAAUACAAAGCAUCAAGAAAAGGAAGUUCAGUCCAUGCUCCGAAGAAACAAUGAGCAUGAUAGUUUGAAAGGCCUCGUAGAAAUAAUGGUGACCUCUUGACAGCAUGUAAUGGCCUAAAUUCAGGGUUAUCAGAAUAGUGGUUUCAUAACCACAAAUCUGAUUUAAAAAGAAUAUUUAUUUUAAAAAUUAUUGCAUGAAUAUUAAUAUGAUAGGAAAGUCUAUAAAAAUAUCGAUAUAAAAAUUUACCAAUUUAGUGGUUAAUUAAAAAAAUUUAUUGAAAAAAUUAGGUAAAAACGAGGUAUCGAAACCUUGAUCUCAUAAAACUGAGUUGAAAAUAUUUUUAUUAAUAUUUAUGAAAUUUUGGUAUUGUAAUAGUAAAUUUUCGUUAGAAAAUUUUAACAUUUGGGUAGUCAAUUAAAUAGAAAGGACUAAAUUGAAAAAUGUGUAAAAGUAUCUAGAAUGAUUAAAUAGCUUAAGAGUCUAAUGAGAAAUGAUUUAAAAAGCAAUUAGACCCAAAAUUAUUUUAGCUGGACGGCAAGGGCAUGAAAUCAGCAAGAAAAUUGAUGAUUUAAGGGCAAAAUUGGAAUAUUGCAUAAUUAACUAAAUAAAGUUAAGACUAAAGUGGAAAUAUCUAGAUUUCUUUUGAUUUUUCUUCAUUCUCAUCAGCCAAAAUGCCAUAAUAGGGGUUUUUUAAGCUUCUAUUUCGUAAUUUUCUCCUCAAGUGAGUUAAUUCUUGCCUUUUUCUUGUAAGUUUUAUGUUUUUAAGACUUUUACAACUAGGUCCUACUAUUAUAUUCACUAGUUUUUGAUUUUAUGGAUGAAAUUGAAAGUUACCAUGGUUGAGUACUGAAAUUUUGUGAUGAAUAAACAUGGAUUUUAAGUUUUAAUUUUAUCAAAAGAUAGAUUUAUUAAAUGUUUUUAGUAGAAAUUGAUUUUUAGGACUUAAUUGUGAAAAAGUUUGGAAUUAAGGUUUGAUGCUGAAAUUAUGAUUUCCAAAGGUUGUGAAUUAGUUCAAGAUGAUAGAAUAAAGUGUUAAUUGAGGAAAAAUCAGCUCAAUUGGGGGGUUAAUUGAGUAGGGACCAAAUUGUAAAAAUUGUAAAAUUUUGGGUAAAUAUGAAAUUUAAAAAAUUGAGAGGUAUAAAUUUUGAAAUAAAUUAGAUUAAAAUUAGAUGCUGAUACAUGGAAAAUUUUAUAUUAUAGACCAAGAAAUUGAAGAUAAAUGAGGGAAGGAAAAAGUUGCCAAAUAGUCCCUGAAAUCUCUACAACUACUACAAAUUGUUACGGGUAAGUUUGUGUAACUUGAAUUAUAUUCUUAAAUUCUUGGAAUGUAUGUUUUAUUGAUGUGAAUAUGGUUUGGAUGUUCAAUGUAUGAUAUUUGAUGAAAAUUGAUAAUUCUCGAUAAAAAAAAGGAAACAAAUCCUGGUUGAAUGAAAUGGACUUUGAUGGAUCACAGAAAAGGGGAUUGACGGUAAAAAGGAUCUAGCCCAGACGGGUGAUCCAAAUAUUAGCCCUCCUGAAGAAUAUAUGUGAAAUGGAUUUAACCCGGACAGGUAAUCAAAUUAAGCUCAUUAGAGCAAUUGUCAUUGCAAGGGAUUUAGCCUGGACUGGUAAUCCCGACAAUACUCUUUGAGCAUAUGAUACAAAGGAUUUAGCCUGGACUGGUAAACCCACUAUAAGAAAUGAGGUUCGCGGGAGUGUACUCUCUGGAAAAAGGGUAUACCCAUAUGUGUACAAAUUGACAAACCUGGAAUUGUACACAAAAGUGUACUACUGAAUAUCCAUCGAAAUUCCAAAAAAUUCAACAGGAUAAAUAUGAGAAAUGGAAGAACAUGAAAAUUAUGGAAUUUGAUGAGCUCAUUAACCAUUUAUCUUUAUAUUGAAUUUAUAUGAUGUUGCUUAACGAAUGCAAAAGUUGAGUUUGUAUGUGAUAGGUGUAUGUUUAUGUGAAUUGGAUGUAUGCUUGUGUUGUUAAAUGAUGGAUGUAUAAGUAUGGUAAGUAUAAUUCUUGUUGCAUGAACUUACUAAGCACCAUGUGCUUACCUCGUUCUCCUUUUCCCUGUUUUUUAGUGCUCGAUAGCUCGAAGGUCGGAAAUUAGUCGGAGCCUUAUCAUACUAUCAACCUAUAUCUUUUGGUAAUGAAAAUGACUUAUUUUGAAAGAAUGGCAUGUAUAGACGAAAUACCAAUGCUUACAGGGAAAUGGCUGUUAGUUAUUGGCAUGGUUAGAGUAAGUAUAAUCUUAGGAUUUUGUGAAAAAUUCCCUGUGAUUCUGACUUUGUUCCGGUCUGGUCCUGAUGCAUAAUUUGGGCUUUGGAAGUCCAUCUAAGAGACGUAAUAAUAAUUUUCGAUAAAUAAAUAAUACUUGGUUCGAGUAAAUGGAAAUUGGUUCCUUAAGUUUCGGUAAUACCUCGUACCUUAUUCUAGCGAUGGAUACGAGUAUGGGGUAUUACACAACAUCUCAACAUUCUCAGGGUAACAACAAUAUCUCUAUGGAAGAGCAUCUCAAAGCCUUUAGAGACGAGUUGAUGCAAAAAGUAAAAAGGGUAAAAAUAGACGAAUCUAUUUGGAAUUACUCCAACGAAUUGUUAGCUCUAAAGAUCCUCGACAACCAUAUCUCAACAUCCUUCAAGUUUCUAAACUUAGUGUAUAAUGAAUUAAGAGACUCGGAAGAUCAUCUAGCUAGGUACAACAAACGCAUGAACAUAUUAAGGGCAUCCAAUGAAUUAAAAUACAGAGCCUUAUCCAUGACCCUGUCUCAAACAACUCAACAAUGGUAUCUAUCAUUACCUAGGGGACUCGUCUAUUCCUUUGGAUAAUUAGUAGAACAAUUUAUGAGUCACUUUCUAGCCAACAAAAGGCUACAACAGUCCCCUUCUUAUUUUACGACCAUCCUCCAUAGAGCAAGUGAAUCUCUCAAUGAUUGUAAUAUCCCGAAAAUUUCUAUAGUAAGAUAUUAUCCUUGAUAUAGAAAAAUAAGGAAAUAAGUGAUAAAAAGGGAAGUUUUGAGUUCUGACAACAUUGGGAAGUAAAUUAUGAUAUCUUGAUUCAGGAAAGGACUAAAUUGUAAAAGUGUGAAAAGUUUUGUUGUACAAGAGUAAAUACUCAAAACUUGAAGGGUUAAAGUGUAAAUAUGAAAAAGUUUAAGGACCAAUAGUGCAAAUAUUUUAAGGGUGGAAUGAUCUAGAAACUAAGAACAAUGGAUGAAUUAGGACCAAAUUGAAUAAGUGAAGAAUUAUAAGGGACUAAAUUAUAAUUUUACCAAAUUAAAUGAUGACUCAAGGAUAGAAUUUUAAAAGAACAUCAAGGGUAAUAUGGUCAAUUAGAAGGAGAGAGAAAUCUAGAGACAAUGAUGAUGUUGGAGAUAUUUUAGAUAAAUUAAAUAAAUAUUAGUUUAUUAAUACUUUAAAUUAAAAUUUUAAAUGAUUUUUUAUUAUUUUAUUUAAUAUAUAUAUGUAAGGAAAGAAAGAGAAGGAUGGGCAUUUUUCCCAUGCACUAACGUGAGAGAAAGAGAGAAAGAAAGAAAGUUUUGCUUUCUUUACAAUUUGGUCCUUCUAUCAAAAAUUCACCAUUUUCACCCAAAAAUCAAGAGAAUUUCCAUAGCUACCAAGAGAGAAAAAUGUUAAGGAGACUAUGGGAAGUUAGAAUAUCAAGUUGGAUUCAAGAAAUGGAAGCUGAAGGAGAGAAAAAAUCAAGAUGAAGAUUGAAAUCAAUAGAAAAAGGUAAGAACAUUAUGAUUUCAAUAUAUUUUUAAGUUUGAUAUUAUUGAAAAAGCAUGGGAUUAAUGUUAAUGUAGAGUUUCAUUACAUAUGUUCCUAUGUUCUUGAUAUGUUAGUGAAGAGAAAAUAAGAGAAAGUGAUGAGAAAUAGUGUAGAAAAAGAAAAUAAGGGUGUUAUAAAUAUGGUAAUUAAUAUCUUGCACUAAAACAGUUUUGGACAGCAGCAGUAGUCUAAAUUUGAAAAAUCACAAAAAAUUUUAAAAAUUUAAUUAUAGGAUGAAUAAAAUAUGAAAUUAAAUCUUAUUGAGUCUAGUUUCUUAUAGAAGAAAUUAUGUAAGCAAUGGGAUUGUAAAUCAUGAGAUAUAAUAAAUUUUGUGAGACAAGCUCAGAAUGAUUUCGGGUUCCCCUGUUCUGACUUUGGAAAAUCAUAAAAUUUUUUAUAAAAAUAAUUAUGGGCUUAAAUUUAUAUUUUUAUAAUCUUGAAUGAUUAUAUUUUCAAUAGAAAUAAACGGGAGCAUCAUUUUAAUUUUAUACGAGGAGAUAAUUAAUUUUAGUGAAGAAGGGUCAGAACUGUCAGACAGCAGAACAGGGGUAACUUUAAAGAAUAACCUGUACUUAUUGGAUAAACCAAAAAUUCUGAAAAUUUUAUGGUAAUAAGAUAUAUGAAUAUAUUUUCAGUGAAAAUUAUCGGAUCUUAAUUUGGAGUUCUAUAGCUCCAGAUAUAAAUAAUUUAGUGACUAUGACACAGAUGGACAGCUUAAAUAUUAAUAAAAGUAAAUAAUAAAAAUUUUAGAUAAUGUUACUUACAAGUGUGUUAUAUACAUUAAGGAUGUGGAAUGGAUAGGAGGGGGAGGAAAAUAUAUAUAAAUAUUCAGCUAGUAUGGUUAAUUUGCAUGUUUUAAGCUCAAGGACUAAAUUGAAUAAAAGUAAAAUUUUAGGGGGCAAUUUUGUAAAAAUGUCAAAAUAACCAAAUUGAAGGGAAUGAAUUGUUUUAUUAUCUAAAUUAAUAAAUUAAAUGAAAUUAUUAAUUUAAUAUCAGGUGGAAAUUGGGAAAAUGAUAAAUUACCAAAAUGCCCUUAAAUCUUAGUAUUUCUGCAAUUUAGUCAGGUAGGUUCGUAAAACUUGAAUGAGCAUAUAAAUAUGCCAAUUUAAAUAUUAUAUUGUAUUUUAUAUGAUGUUUGAAUUGAACAUAUGAAAUGUAUGGAUGUUGAAAUGAAAGAAAUAAUACAUGUUCUGAAACUAUUGAAAGGGAUAAAAUCUGUUUGAAUAUUGGAUUCCAGAUGGAUAUAGGUGAUUUCCCAAAUGAAAGAGUUCCUGCAUGUGUUGCAGAAAUAGAUAACCCAGACGGUUAAUCUGAAAAAAGCCUUCUCGAGAAUAUAAAGUGGAUAGGAUUCGUUCCUGAUUCACUAUGAUACCUCAAAGUGGAUAGGAUUUGUUCCUGAUUCACUGUGGUAAUUUAAAGUGAAUAGGAUUUAUUCCUGAUUCACUAUGGUAACUUAAGGCGGAUAGGAUUUGACCUGAAAAGAUAAUCCUGAUUUGCUACAGUUACAUGAUAUAUGAUUCAUUAUGGUAACCUAAGGUGGAUAGGAUUUGACCUGAAAAGGUAAUCCUGAUUCACUACAGUUACAUGAGAUGUGACUCGAGAGAGUGCUUGAUGAUUAAACAUCCUAAGGGUUAUUUCUGAAUAUGAAUUGAUGGAAUAUGGAAAUGUACGCUUUGAGUGUACUGUUGAAAAAUCCAUCGGAACUCCAAUGAUUCAACGAAUAGAAUAUUUGAUAUGAUACGAGAAUUAUAAUAUAAAAAGGAUGUUCAAUGAAACAUGAAAAUGAAUGCUAAACGAUAUAAAUUAAUUGAAAUUAUUUUGAAAAUUUCGGUAAUGCCUCAUAUCCUAUACCAGUCUCGAGUACAGGUAUGGGGUGUUACAAUAAUUAUGUCAAAAGAUUCAACGUAGCUAACAUGUCACGAAGGAAGUUAUUGAUGAAUGGAUAAUUCAAGCCUUUAUUGCUGGAACCUCACAUCAGCACUUAAGAUACAUCAUCAUUAGAACCACCCCGAGCAAACUCUUUAACCUUUAUAAGAUGACACACAAAUUCUUGAAAAGGGAUGACGUAGAAAAAGUUCGAGCCAACUCUUCCGCACAACAUCCCAUCAAAAUAACCCUUCGCAAAUAUCACCACUCAGGAGAUUUCAAGGCUAUCAACAACCAAUGACUAGUUCGAGGGUAGACGGACGUGGGUAUGGAUAUUGCAACCAACCUAGCCAGAGAAAUAAUCAGCAAGUGAACAAUGUCUAUACCAUGGAUCACUAACGACCCAUCUGCAGUCAUAAGGGAGGCCAAGAUCAUCAACUUCAAGCUCCAUAUGAUAAGUUCAGAACUUAUCAUAUGCUUAAUUGCUCCCCAACCCAGAUUUUCAAAUAAGUGCAAUAUUAAAAACUUCUGGAGACAACUCCACACCUCCCACCCAAUCAACAUCGUAGCAACUCCAACCAUUAUUGUAGAUAUCACAACGCUUGAGGGCAUCAGAUUGAAUAGUGUGUGUAUUUAAAGAAUGCCAUUAAAAAUGCAAUCCGGAAGGGGCACCUCAAGCAAUUUCUAGCUCAAAAAGCCCACUAACCAAAUAAAGCUCAGAUCAAGGAAACAGGACCAUCAAGUUCAUAGCAUGACAAUAGGGGAAAAGUCAGUGAGAGAAAUCAUCAAUGUACAAUUAAAAGAAAACACACGGAAUGGGUCGCUUUAAAUACGAAGUGAAAGGCUUACAUGGGAAAUGUCCUCUCAACUUCAACUGCAAUUAAGAAACCCAAGCCUUCCCCAUUGAACCUUCAUCUUUCAGAUCAGGAUGAGAGAGAUGUUCUGGAUGUAGAAGGAAAAGACCCUUUGGUGAUCUCAACCAACAUUUCCUCCUUCCAGGUUAGACGGAUCUUGGUUGAUACGGGUAGUUCCGUGGACAUUUUGACAGCCAAAGCUUUCUACCAUAUGGAACUUAAGGAUAUAGAGCUCAAGCCUGAAAGCCUGAUUUAUGGCUUUGUAAACUAACCUAUCGCAAUUAAAGAUCCAUUAUCUUACUAGUGGUAUUGGGAAACAGUGAGCACACCACCACAAAAAAUGGUGGAUUUCUAGUGGUUGGCCACCCAACAGUCUACAAUACCAUUUUCAGGAGACUGAUCAUAAGGAACACAAAAAUAGUGGUGGCCACCUUUUGCAUGACGAUGAAGUUCCCCACUCCUAAAAGUGACGGGUACAUGAAAGUUGACCAGAAGACAUCCUGAGAGUGCUAUAUUGUUUUUUUAUGGCCUCUUCGAACAAAGUCACAUUUCAGAACCGGGGAAACCCUUUCAAUGAUAAUGAACCAACACAAUCAACUUAACAAAAUAAGAGAAAUGGAAAAGAACAUUUGAUUGAGCAUCCAACUUCAAAAUCUUGUUCAAAAAUAAUUAUAACUUCUAUUAGAAGAAAUUUGGCUAAAUCUAUUGAUAGAUGGACAAUAAUAGUUGAGGAACAAAUGAGACUACAAAAUGAACUUAAAAACAAUUCUACAAGAAAGUUAAUGCCUUCGAUAAUGAAAUUAGAAUUGGAUAAUGAAUGGGUUUUAAGAUUUAUCAGUAUUCUUAUGCAUGAGAAGAAAGUUUGGUUUUUGCUACAAUGCCUUCAGAACUUAAGAAAAAAAUGGGUGCUUUGACAACUUGGUUUAUUGUGAGUGAUAUUAGGAAAUAACCCAACAAACAUACAUGAAAUGCUAAAACAAUUAGAUAAAAUUGCAAAUAAUAUUUUUUUUGUUAUUAUAUUAGUAAUCGUAUUGUUGACCGCAUUCGCACAUGCAUAUAAAACAAACAAUUUUAAAGCGAGGUUUUACUGCAAGUGUACUUGUCAGUUGUAAUAUAUGUAGUGCUCCAAUGGAACAUUGGAGUAUUCCAACGAUCGAACCCAAAGGAGAUGACGAUUGAGUGAUAAAUACUAUAUACUAUAGAGUCUAAGCGGUUAUUGAUAUGAUUUUAUAGUACGACAAUUGAUAACAAGAAAGUUUUUAAAGAAAAUUAAAUAUGCUAAUUUAAGGACUAAAUUGUAAAGAGUACAAAACUAAGAAAUUAACCAAUGAAUAACUAACGAUGGUUUGAUGUGGGUCGUCGGUCCUUGGAUAAGGGACUUAAAUCACUUAAAUUACUUAGUGGUUACAUUUUAUCUCUUAAUCUCAAUUUUACCAACUUAGACAGAUUAAUUCGAUUUAUCUUUCAAUCUCACCGGUUAAUCAAGGACUAAUGAAUUGGUGCACAACAAGGUUACCUUUCGGUCUCACUUGUCUGAAUAUUCCCUUAGAGGCGUUGCUUCCUAUGUUUUUAGGUUUAUUCAAUUUAUUCCAAUUUAAUACGAUUUGGUCCAUUGUCCAAAAAAAAUCAACUUACCCACAUCUCCAUCAACCAACCCCCUUUUUAAGUAUAGCUACUCAUGCUAAAAAUAAAGAGAAUGGACAUGGUAAUGACAAACAAACAAGCCAUUAAAGUAAAACUUAAAAAAAAUAUAAAAGUUUGGAUUUUAUGCAAGAAAACUUAAAAGAACAUGAAACUAUAGGCAUUCAACUAGGAAAUCUAAAGCAAUAAACAUAAAGGAACAAACUUUAGUUGAUUUAAAGUAAAAGAAACUGAAAUACAUUAAACUAAAAAUAGGAAUGUCUUACAACCAAAGUACAAAGACUAAAAGUGUAAAUAAACCUAAGCUACAGUAAUAACUAUCUUAACUAACACUAAGAACAAUAAGUAAAUGCAGAAAGAUAAACUCUAAAACUAAUAAAGAAGAAGAGAAAAUGAAAACCCUAGAAAAGUUGCAAAAAAAAAACUAAAAUAAAAUCUAGAGAAGGCUAAAACUAAACUGAUGUGUGUGUCUCUCCUCCUUAGCCAAAAUUGACUAUUUUAGGCUAAAUGCUUAUGAAUUUUCGUUUCCAAAAUUGCCCAUACAUGGGCCUUGGGUGAUUGAUGGAUCAGGUGAACAAAGACUACCAUUUUUGUCAAAUUUUGUCCCUCUCACGAUAUCGGUGUCACAAUACCUCAGCCAGUUCUGAACCUUGGGGUCUUCUUUGAAGGGUGGAUAUCACGAUACCACUGAAGGGUGGUCUCCAAUCUUUCAUAUUGUUGGAGGUAUCGCGAUUCCAAGGUAUGGAUAUCAUGAUACCCUUUCCUUUGGUGUUGUUUUCAACCUCUAACACAUCCCUACACCACUCAACUACACAUUAGGCCUUCCAAUGGCACUAUUGGCCAAAUUGGGUCACAAAAUGAGUAAAAAUGAGAUAUUUACAUUUAUUAACUUAAAAUCUAAAAAUUAAAAAAAACUAUAAAAAAAAGACACUACUUUGCUUGAAAAUAAGCUCUUUAAGUAUACUAGGAAAGCCUAAUUUUUCAUAUCAAUUUAUGAUAGAUCAAUUGUCAACUACUUUCUUGGGCUUACAUAUUGCUUAUGGCGAACUAAUUUUAAUUUUUAUUACUUGUUUAGAAAAAAUUUUUCUCAAAUAUUGUAGAUAAAUUUUUAUAGUAAUAAAUAUUUAAAAGAAAAUAUGUAACUAUGUAUUACAAUUUGUACUACUAAUGUAACAACCCUUGCCCGACUCGAUCACCAGGUCCGAUCUACAAUAUGCCACAUCCGUUUUCGGAGCAGCUAUUGUCAAACAUACUAUAAUUAUAUCAUUUAAACAAGCAUUCAUGUCUUAAACACAUUCAUAAUAUGAUAUACAAUUAAAUUCGAGCCUUAAUCGAGCUUACGAAAGCUUUUUUAUUGACUCGAGCACAAAAUAUGACUAAAUUGUAAUGUUUUGAAAAUUUAGGCCGGCGUCAUAACAUCACCUUCUCCACAUCAUGACAUUUUCAAACAACUUGUCACGUCACAACAUUAAGCCACUUGACGUUGGGACAUCACAUACUGUCAAUCGGCGUUGUGAUGAGAAAAUGUGGUCGUUGGGACAAAGAUUCUACUUUUUUUUGGUACAAAUUAGGCCAUUUGGUACCUAUUUCAGGUCAACCUAACCAUUUGCACCUUUAAUGCAUUUUUGCACAAUCAAACAUGCAUAAAACUUGAUCAAACUCAUACCAGACAUUAUGUUUCAACCAAUUCACAUCAUUCAACCCAAUAUGCCACAAUUCAGCAUCAAAACAUUCCAAUUCAACCUAUUCAAACUCAUCUAUACUAUCAUGCCUUGAAGCCAUUCAACAUCAACAUUAUACCAUUUCAUUUCAUGAACAGUAUGCCCUUUAAAUACCAUUUAAGAUGUUGAAACACAUUACCAAAUCAAACACAUGCACAUUGACUUUAGUUUGCACAAAAUUAAGCAUGAACCAAAGUCUCAAACCAAACUAACAUUUCUAAGUUAACAAAGCAACACCUAUGUAUACAUUCCACAUAACUAAGUCUAGAAAUGAUCAAAAGAGUACUAAGUCUAAAGCAAGAUAGUGUGAGCUUCUUGUAGAUCCGAUCGAAAUGUUUCGCAAGCUGACAAUCUACAGGAGAAAGGAAAACAAUAGGUAAGCAUAUCGAAUACUUAGUAAGCUCAAAUGAAACUUACUUAACUUACCUUAACAUUACAACAGUUUAAGCAAUUCAAACAUAUUGGUACAAAACAUGGCAUCCUUGGCAAUCUUUUACUUUCAUGCACAAUUCAACAACACAUACAAUAUGUUAGUUCAUUUGCAUAAUAAAACAUGAUACGAAAAACAUAUACAUAUACAAUCAUUUCAUACUAUAUCAAAUAUUUUUAAGCUAUGCUCAAUUUGCAACUUAACAUUUCAAUCAUGAUCAAUCAUUACAUUUCCAUUUUAAUUAUUUUUUUUCGCUUAGAGAACUAAAGUAAAUUGAAUUUGAAUAUCGGACUUGUAUGCUCAUAAGAGCUGACAUAUUUGAGUUGCUCACAUAAUCAUUAGGUCAGGUUUGAUUAUUACUCACACAAGCUUCAGAGAAUACCCAACACGUGUUGGAUCUCAAAUCAUCAUAUAAGCCACUGAUCAAACAACAAUUUUCCUUAUUCGUUUGAAUCAUUUGCUUUUUCAUUGGGACCCUAAUGGCAUGCCAUUUGUAUCCUAAUCAUUUAUUAAGCUCACACGGGCACCAUUACCAAAUUAGUAUCAUUUUACACUCUGUAGUCGUAUUCAAGUUUAUAUAUUCCAUAUACAUUUUGGUAUUCAUCUCAAUACCUUGAAACAAUCCAGAAUAAUCACAAUAUCCAUGUUUUACAAUUCAAUCUAUUUGAUACCAAAUUCAUCAAAUCCAUAGCAAUUUAAUUCACAAACAAAAUAAAUACAAUUUAACAUAUCAAUUAACUAAAAUAGUAAACUUCAUAUGAACUUACUUGACAAAACAACAAUCAAUUGAAUCUUAAGGACUACUCUGCAAUUUUAUUUUUUCCUUGAUUAUCUUCAAUUUGAUUCAAUUGUCGAUCUAUAUAAUAAUUUAACUUGUCGAUCUAUAUAAUAAUUUAAUUCAAUUUGUCAAUUCCUAUCAUUUUGUAACAUUCUAUAAUAUGCAUAUAUCAAUUAAAUUUCAUUAUUUAAAUACCCCUAAAAUUUUACAUAUUAUUCAAUUUAGUCCCUAAAAUCGAAAUUGCUAUAACUUUCAAAUUUGAGCUUCGAUUUUAAAACUGAUCUCAAUUUCAUCCUUCUAUAACCCUUUAGUAUAAAAAAUUAUAGAAAUAUUAUACUAUUUUCACAAUUUAUGCACUUUAGUACAUAUAUUCAAAAACUAGCAAUUAAAUUUCACAUGCUAAUCUUUUUUCACUUCUAAGCUUAAAACCUAACAAUUUAGUACCAAAAAUUUCAAGAAAUCAACAAUGGAAACUUUUAAAAUCUUUAACAGUUUUACAAAUUGGUAUAUGAGCUAGCUAAAUCAAGCUUUCAAAACCUCAAAAAUAUAAAAAUUACAAGAAAUGAAUUUUCAAUCACUUACCAAAUGAAGAAGAAAGUUUGAAACCCUUAUUUUCCCUCUUUGUUUUGUGAAUAUGGAGAAGAUGAUAAGAAAGGUUUUUUUUUUCUUUUCUUUUCAUUUGAUAUAUAUACUUGUAUUAACAUUAAUAAAUUAAGAUUAAUUUAACUAAACUUUAAUCACAGUUAAUAAAAUUGGUGGAUGAAAGUUGUCAUCGUCACCGUUUGGUGAUUUAGGAAAGAUCCAAUUACUCAAUUAGUCCUUUGGAUAAUUAAAAAUCUAUGAUGAUUAACUUUUAUCAUUUUUACAAUUUAGUCAUUUAACCUUAAUUGACAAAAUUAAAGAAUAAAAUUUAAUUAAACUAUAUACUAACAACGUAAAUAUUACAUAAUAUUUAUGGGCUCAAAUAUCGAAAAUGGGGUUUCGAAAUCACUAUUUUUGAUACCACUAAAAAACAAGUUGUUACAAGCAAACAUGAUAUAGAAGAUUACAAUGCUUUGUCAACCAAACACUUCUAUGACCUCUUUGGAAACCAUGAUUUGAGUAAAAAAAAAAAUUGGAUUUGGAUUUGACAAUCCAAAUACUUCAUUUGGAUAACAAGUAAAAAAUUGGAUUUGAAUUUGAUUUUGGGCAAAUCCAAGUCCAAUUUUAUGAGUUAAAUUUAGAUUUCAAAAUACAAGAUUGUUUAAAAAAUAUGAGAACUUUUUUUGUUAUUUCUUUUUUCCCACUUUCAUUAAAACCCAAACAAUAAGUAAUUAAUUUUACUUAUAAUAUAUAUCAACAAAGCUCAAGAUUUUUAGAACUGGACCGAUAUAUGAAUCGAUUAGACCAUCUGGAUUUGAUCGAUUCAAUCAAUUCGAUUAAAUAAAUUAUCAAAACUAAAAAUAUAUAUAAAUAAAUAAAACCGAUUCAAUUGUUGGUUUGGCCUAUUGGACUAGUUCAACUGGUUCACAAGUUAACCAAUUUGAACCCUUAUUCGGGAUUGGUGCCCCAGUUGAUUCCCAAUCAAUCGAUCUGACCGAUCGGUCCAAUCUAAGUCUAAACAAUGAUUAAGCUUCAUGCAUUUAAUUUAAUGUAAUAUAAAUAUUCACAAUUUUGAUUUAUACCAUAGUUUCCAUAAUUUUAAUUUUAAAUAGUUUCCAUAAUUUUAAUUUUAAACCCUUGACUUUUAAUUUAUACCUAAGUAAGUCCACUUAUGCCCAGUGCAAUCAAUGUGACUAGCUGGUCCAGUUCAGUUUUGAAAAUAGUGACAAGCUUCAUGUUUUUAAUUUAAUAAUAUAAAUAUUCAAAAAAUUUAUUUAUACCAUAGUUUCCAAAAUUUUAAUUUAUAAACCCUUGACUUUUAAUUUAUACCUAAAUAAGUUCGCUUAUUUAUGUACAAACUAGAUUAUAUGAUUCUAUUUAGGUGUAAACAAAGUAUAAAUGACUUGUAUAAAUAAUACGAAAAUGUUGAGAAUUAUUUUUUAAUAUUUUAACCCAAAACAAUAUAAAAAUAUAAAGUUACAUUUUAUUGGCCGAUUGGUUUGAUUAAUAUGAUUGGUUUGAUCAAUCUGUUUGGUUCUAUUAAAUGUAUUAAAUGAAUCAUUAAAGACUUCAUAAAAAAAUGGUUUAAUCAUCCAAUCAACCCAUUUGUACCGGUUCUCAAGUCAAACAAUCUAAUGCCUUUCUCCAGUCCAAUUCGUCGCUCGAUUGCUGGUCCAGCCUGGUUCAAACAACAAUGUUGAAAAUGCUUAUAAAUAAUAAAUUUUAAAAAAAUUAUUUUAAGGAUUAAAAUUUGUUGAAAUUCAAAUUUAAAUUUAAAAUUAUCCCAACAAUGAAUUUGGAUUAAUUCAAAAUCCUGAAUUUCAACCAUUUUAAUUCCCAAACAAAGAUUUUAGAAACAAUGAAUUCAUAAAUCAUAAAUUUCAAAACUAAAAUUUUAAAAUCCAAAUCCAAAUUCCAGUUCUUAGACGCUAUCUUAGGGAAUUAAAAUUCCUUGUAAUUACAAGGGAGUGUAAUUACUACUGUGGGUGUAAUCGAGUCGAGCUUGAAUACUCCAAAGCUUAAGCUAAGCAUGAAACUUGGAGCUCCAUACUCUACUUAAGCUCGACCAAAUAUCAAUUUUUAAGCUCGAGCUCGACUCGAGAUAUAAUUGAGCUACUCAAGUUUGGCUCGAGAUAGAACCAAUGUAACACCCCUAACCCGUAUCCGUCGCUGAAAUAGAGUUACGAAGCAUUACCGAUCAAAUCACAACAUACAAUAUACAAUUCUCAAACAUAAAUCCUUUAUCAUAUAAACAUCAAUAAACAUAAUCACAAUGUCCCUUAUAAGGCUCUACGAGACCUUAAAACAUGCUUGGAAGAGGUUCAGGACUAAACCGAUAACAUUUGAAAACUUUGAGAAACUUAUAAAAUUUUCAUGCAUACAAGGAUCAUAUGCCUGUGUGAACUAGCUAUGUACCUCACACGGCCACCAGACACGCCCGUGUCACAAGCCGUGUGGAAACAGGGCAUACAUACUGACUUGCAUCACGCGGCCGGAGACACGUCUAUGUGUCAUGGCCGUGUAAAAUAUGGAGGGUAUACUGACUUAGGUCACAUGGGCUGGCAACACCGGCCAUAUGCCCAUGUGCCAGCCUGUGUGUCACACACGGCCAGUAGACAAGCCCGUGUGUCUAAGCCGUGUAACUCAUUGACUUGUUUAACUAAGUUACAGCAGGCACACGGUCGAGUGACACACCCGUGUGCUUAACCGUGUAGGGCGAAAUCAGGCUUGGUUUAAGCCACAUUUCUUAUCCUCCUCAAGUAUACCUAAACCUCAUCAUUUAAUACCACCUCAAUACAUUCAAAGGCAACCAAAGCAUGCUAUUUCAUACAUAUAUCAUGCCAUUAAUAAACUGUUCUUUCAACCUCCUAAAAACAUAACCAAAACUUACCACAUCAAUAUGUCAUAACCAACAUUUUUCACCUAUCUUCUAUAUGGAUAUUUUCACCAUAUUAUCAUCUAUUUCAUGCCUCAAAACAUACCAUUUCAUCAUCUUAAAACCAAUUCACAACAUGCCUUAACAAACAGAACAAAACAUAAGGCCAUUUUUAUACAUCAUAUUUUACUUACCAAACUCAUAAAACAAGCCAACCAAAAUGGCCAAAUGCACACCAACAUUUACAUCAUUUACAUCAUUUACAAGCCAACUCUCAUGUCUAAAAUCAUAACUCAAAACAUAUCAUCUUAACACUAGUCUAUACAUGCCAUAUACCACAUUACAAAGCAUCAAAAGUACCAACAAGUUGAUUAAUAGUGUGACGGUGUUCGUGAUGAUCCCGAGUUCGAGCUAGCUUCGAUUAUCUAUAAAAUAGGGAAAUAACACACAAAGUAAGCUUUAAAAGCUUAGUAAGCCAUAAAAAAUAAAAUUACCACAUGAAUCAACAUUAUUUUCAUCAACAAACAAACUAUGUAUAAGCACAUAAAAGCUCACAAACCUUUCCCAAUGUAUACAUAUUCAAUAUCACGAGUGAAUUCAUUAAAUACUUCCCUUUUUUAAUACUUGUAUGAAUCUUGUACGUACUUGAGUCACUUAACUCAUUCACACAUUCUUUCUCGACUUGAAUUUACCUGUUGAACCUUUUAGAAUCGUUAAGGAUCUCGAAAAUCGCAUAUAUCUCAUACAAUGCCAUAUCCUAGAUAUGGUCUUACAUUGUAUCACAUAUCGAUGCCAAUAGCCCAGCUAUGAUUUUACACGAAAUAAAAUAACGAUACCAAUUUCCCAGACAUGGUCUUACACGUAAUCACAUCUCGUUAAUCUUAAUGUCAUGACAUUCGUAUCCUAUACUAUUCCCAAGGUUCGUACAGGACUUUCGGAUAUUGUAACCCUGACGAUUCUUGCUCGUAUUUGAUCAUUCAACAUUCAUAGAAUUUCAAUGACAAUUAAACAUAUAUAAUUCAAUUUAACGACAUUUAUUUUCAUAUGAGCUUACCUCGUAUUCAGAAUAAACAGACUAGAUUGACUAUUUGUUAACCUUUGAUUUUCCCCGAUCUAAAUCUGAUUUCUUUCGUUCUUGAUCUAUAUACAUUAAAAAUUAACUCAUUUAUUCAUCAAAUCAUUCAAUUCAGUCCAUAAACACAUAUUUGGGCAUUUUACACUUUAGCUGUAAUACCCCAAAAAUUUUUACAGUAAAAUAUUAUCCGUAAUAUAGUAAAAUAAGGAAAUAAAGUGACAAAAAGGGAAAUUUUGAGUUAUGUCAAUAUUGAGAAGUAUAUUAUGAUAUAUUAAUUCAAGAAAGGACUAAAUUGAAAAGAUGAGAAAAGUCUUGUUGCACAAAAGUAAAUACUUAAAAUUUAAGGGGUUGAAGUGUAAAUAUAAAAAAGUUGAAGGACUAAUGGCACAAAUAUUUUAAGGGUGGAAUGAUCUAGAAACCAAGAAAAAUUGAUGAAUUAGGACCACAUUGAAUAGGUGAAAAAUUAUGAGGGACUAAAUCGCAAUUUUAUCAAAUUAAGUGAUGAGUCAAUGAUGGAAUUCUAAAAGAUCAUGAAGGGAAAAAUGGUCAAUUAGUUAAGAGAGAGAAUUCUAGAAUGUAAUGAUUACGUUGAUAAUAUUUUAAAUUAAUUAAUUAGAUAAAUAUUAUUUUAUUAAUAUUUUUAUAAGAUAUUUAUUAUUAUAUUAUUAUUUAUUUAGUAUAAAAGGAAGGAAAGAUGAAGAAUUAUCAUCACCUUUCCUUUCCCAUGCAAACCCACGUAAGAGAAGAAGAAGAAAAGAAGUUUUCUUUUUUUACAAUUUAGUCCUUCCACCAAAAAUUCAUUAUUUUCACCUAAAAAUUGAAAGAAUUUCCAUAGCCAUCAAGAGAGAAAGAUAGCAAGGAAAUGAUGGGGAGCAAGAAUAUCAAGUUGGAUUCAAGAAAUAGAAGCUGGAGGAGAGAGAAAAAUCAAGUUAAAGAUUGAAGUCAAUAAGAAAAGGUAAGAACAUCAAGAUUUCAAUAUAUUUUUAAGUUUAAUAUUGUUGAAAAAGCAUGGAAUUGAUGUUGAUUUAGAGUUUUCUUAUAUAUGGUCUUAUGUUCUUGUCAUGUUAGUGAAGAGAAAAUAAGAGAAAGUGAUGAGAAAUAGUGUAGAAAAAGAAAAUAAGGGUGUUAUAAACAUGGUAAUUAAUAUCUUGCACUAAAACAGUUCUGGACAGCAGCAGUAGUCUCACUUUGAAAAAUCACCAAAAAUUUUAGAAAUCGAAUUAUAGGAUGAAUAAAAUAUGAAAUUAAAUAUUAUUGAGUCUAGUUUUUAUAGAAGAAAUUAUGUAAGCAAUGGAAUUGUAAAUCAUGAGAUAUAAUAAAUUUUAUGAGACAAGGUCAGAAUGAUUUCGGGUUCCCCUGUUCUGACUUUGGAAAAUCAUAAAAAAAUUGGAUAAAAAUAAUUAGGGGCUUAAAUUUAUAUUUUUAUAAUCCUGAAUGAGUCUAGUUUCAAGAGAAAUAAACAAGAAUAUCAUUUGAAUUUUGUACGAGGAGAUAAUUAAUUUUUAGUAAAGAAGGGUCAGAACUUUCAGACAGCAGAACAGGGGUAACUUUAAAGAAUAAACUGUACUUAUUGGCUAAACUAAAAAUUCUUAAAAUUUUAUGGUAAGAAGAUAUAUGAGUCUAGUUUCAGGGAAAAUUAUUUGAUCUUAAUUUUGAGUUCUAUAGCUCCAGAUAUAAAUAAUUUAGUGACUAUGACACAGAUAGACAACUUAAAUAUUCAUAAAAGUAACUAAUAAAGGUUAUAGAUAAUGUUACUUACAAGUGUGUAAGGAUGUGGAAUGGAGAGGAGGAGGAAGAAAAUAUAUAUGAAUAUUCAGCUAGCAUGGCUAAUUUGCAUGUUUUAGGCUUAAGGACUAAAUUGAAUAAAAGAAAAACUUCAGGGGGAAAUUUUGUAAAAGUGUCAAAAUGACCAAAUUGAAGGGAAUGAAUUGUUUUAUUAUCUAAAUUAAUAAAUUGAAUGAAAUUUUCAAUUUAAGAUCGGGUGAAAAUUGGAAAAAUGGUAAAUUACCAAAAUGUCCCUGAAUCUUGAUAUUUCUGCAAUUUUGCUAGGUAAGUUCGUAUAACUUGAAUUAUUUUCUUAAAUUCUUGAAAUGUAUGUUUUUGAUAUGAAUAUGAUUUGAAUGUUCAUUGUAUGAAAAUUGAUGAAACAUUAACAUAUUUGAUAAAAAAGGGGAAGAAAUCCCGGUUGAAUGAAAGGAAAAUUCGAUGGAUCUCUGAAAAGGAAUUGACGGUAAAAAUGAUCUAGCCCGGAUGGGUGAUCCUAUCCUGAUAUAGCCCUCCCGAAGAAUACGUGUAAAUGGAUUUAGCCCGGACGGGUAAUCCGAAUUAGGGUUUGAAUUUAGCCUGGACUGGUAAUUCAGAUCUAAGCUCAUUAGAGUAAUUGUCGUUGCAGGGGAUUUAGCCAGGAUUGGUAAUCCUGACAAUACUCUAUGAGUUUAUAUUACAGGGGAUUUAGCCUGGACUGGUAAUCCCACUAUAAGGAUGAGGUUCGCGGGAGUGUGCUCUCUGAUAUGAAAUGUGUAAGACCAUAGUUGAAAGAUACCAUGGAAACCUUAUAUGAAAUGUGUAAGACCAUGGUUGAAAGAUACCAUGGCAACCUGAUAUGAAAUGUAUAAGACCAUGGUUGAAAGAUACCAUGGCAACCUUAUAUGAAAUGUGUAAGAUCAUGGUUGAAAGAUACCAUAGCAACCUGAUAUGAAAUGUGUAAGACCAUGGUUGAAAGAUACCAUGGCAACAUGACAGAAAAUGAGUAAGACCAUAGUUGAAAGACACUAUGGCAUCAUGUCAAAGAUAAAUAAGACCGUGGAUGGGAGACGUGAUGACAUCUAUUGAACAAUUGAUAUUCAGGUAAUAUGUAUCAGAUGACGAAUGGUUAUAUGAAAUGGUUGUGUGAAAUGUUUACAAGAACUGGUCAUAUGGAAAUAUAUGUACAAAAUAGUUGUAUGAAAUAAUUAUGAAGAUAGAUAAAUGAAAUAAGAAUAGAUAAAUGAAAUAAGAAUAAGUACAUGGAAUAUAAUUUAUGUUAAGUUUGAUAUAAACUUUACCGGAAUAAAUAUACAUAAAAUAUAUGGAAAUGAUGGAGCAUGAAAUAUUGAUAUAAUGAAAUGAUUGAUAUAUACUUAUGAAGAAACGGUAAGAGAAUGAUAUGUUUCAUGACAUGUACAUAUAUGAUUAUCUUUGAUAUGUUGAUACAGGGAAAUUAUGUAAAUAAAGACAAUUAUUAAACUCAAGUGUGACAUGUCGAGAAAAUAAGUAUAUCAAUAUUGAAUUUAUAUGAAAUAUGUGCAAGUAUACUAACAAUAAUGUUGUUUGACGCUUAGACAAGUGUCAAGCUCUUGAUUGAAUAGUAACAUGUUUAAUUAUAAGAAGCAUUGAAAUGGUAAGUACUUAGAUGAAAAUAAAAUUUAAGAUUUUGUGAAAUUUUUUAUGAUCCCGAUUUAAUUCCGGUUGGUUUUCAAUGUAUGUUUGGGGCUUUGAGGGCCCAAUAAAGAGACGUUAUGAUUAUCUUCAAAAUAUGAAUAAUAAAUGACUCAGAAUUAUCUAAAAAUGUUCAGUAAACUGUGAUAAUGCCUUGUACCUAUUCCGGCAAUGGAUACGGGUAGGGAAUGUUACAUUAGCCCCUAAAGUUCUGUAUUUUUACAAUUUAGUCCCUAUUUCACAAAUACACAAAAUUCAGCCAAUUUAAUACCUUCCUAAGCUAGCUGAAUUUUCCUAGUGCACAUAUCAGCCCAUAUUUAUCAUUUAUUCACACAUUUAACCACAUAUUUUCACAUUUUCACAAAUAAAUCCCUAUUUGACAUUUUUGUCAAAAAUCACUUUACAAAACAUUAAAAUCUAUCAUCAAGUUUUCAUAUUUCAUCAUCAAACAUCCAAAAGCUCAAAUAAUCAUAAAUGGCACUUCAAAAAAUCGUGAAAAAAUUCAAAAAUUAAGGCAUGGGCUAGCUAAAAUACAAAGCAACGAUCUUAAAAACGUAAAAAUCAUCAAAAAUUGAGCUCAACACACUUACCAAUCAAGCUUGCAAGUGCUGAACCCUAAAAUGAUCUCCAAAGCUUUAUUUUCUUUUGAUAUUCGGUUAUGGAUGAAGGAAAUUAAAGAUGAUUUUAGCUUUUGUUUUAUUUAAUUUAACUUAAUUACUAAAUUACAUGUUUAACCUUAAACAAAAACCAUUUAAAACAUCCAUUUAAUGCCCUUUUAUGUCUAAUUCCACUAUCAAUGGUCUAAUAUCAUCAUAAGGACCUUUGGUUUAACGAAUCAUAGCAAUUAAACACUUUUAACAAAUAGAAUACAACUUUUGCAUUUUACGCGAUUUAGUCCUUUUAUCAAAUUAAGCAUUCAAACGCUAAAAUUAUUUCACGAAACUUUCACACAUAUAUAGUUACAUGCUAUAAACACAAAAAAUAAUAUUAAAAUAAUUUUUUGACCUCAAAUUUGUGGUUCCAAAAACCAUUGCUCCGAUUUAGCUAAAACCGAGCUUUUACAACCAAGCUACUCAAGCUCAAUUAAGCCCAUUCACCAAUUUUUGUAUUCAAGCUCGAGCUACUCUAUAAUUAAGCUUAUGGUUAUUAAGACAUAUUAAUGGCAAUAAUGUAAUUUAAUAAUAUAAAAAAUGAAAAGUUUGACAAGGCUCCUGAACCAUUCGAGUCAAGUAUUACUAAACUUGAAUUUAGCUUGAUCCAUAGCUCGGGCUUGAGCUCAACUCGAUAAUUAUAGAAUUAAGUUUGAAUUUUUUUGAGUCAAACUCAAGUAGCUUGUUAGCACCAAUGUCUCGUUUACACUCCUAACUAUUACACUAAUAAUUUUCAUCCAAUUACUAUGUGGUGUCCAAACACACCAUAAAUAAAAUUUGAUAUAUAAAUGUGGAAUCACUUUCCAAUUGAUUAAAUUCCGGAGAAAGUAAUCACUACACUACCUUAAGAGACUGUUUGGUGUUUUCCUAUCUAAUGAUUCUAAUGUAAUGUAAUUGAUGAGAAUAUUAUUUUACAAUAUUUGGUACACAUUAAAAGUAAUUAAAAUCUCGAGAAAACUAAAUUAACACGCUUAAUGCACUUAACACUUUUAUGAGAAUAUAAUGUUAUUUUACAAAAUUACCAUUAUUAAAUAAAAAUAUUAUUAUGAAUGUCUAUAAUAUUUUAAAUUUUCCUCAUUACUUCAGGUGUAUUCAUAUAUUGCAUAUAUACUUUGAAGUCAUAUUAAGGGGAAUGAUCCACUUACAUUUGUGUAAAAUUAAAAUAGUUUAACAUUUUUUCUUACAUUUUUAUAUGACUAAUAUUUUAAUGAUCUAAAUUCUAACUGUCAAGUUUUAUAUUUUAUUCAUAUAAAUUAUACAUGUUAAAUUUGAUGUAAAUCAACUAUUUCUUUUAUGUAAAAAACUUUCAAUCGUUCAAUAAAUAUUAAUAUAUAAAAUAUUUUAGAUCGAUAUGAUAAAAAUAUAGAAUUGAUUUAAAAAUUUUAAUGUAUAACAAAAACAAUUAUAUUAAAAUAUUAAUAAUCAAAAUAUACAAAAAGGUGUAAAAACUACUUUAAUUCUAUAUGUAAGUGAAUCCCUUCCAUUAUUUUAAUACUAAAAUUCGAUAAUAAUGAAAAAAAUACAUUUUAAAAAGAUUUAUAACAAAAAAUAUAAAUAUUUACUUGCUUUGAAACAAUGAAUUGAAGCCAUAAAGACCAAAAAGGACCAGAACAUGCAAUUGUGUUCUUUUAUUUAUUAUGGUUAAUAAGUUAAUACUCUAAACACGAAAGACUAGUUUUGUCUUAGCAAUUAUUUUUUGCUUUUCAUCUACAUGACAAAGUAACUUUCCCUCUAAUUAUUAUGGGAAUCACUUUUCACUAUGUCAAUGUUUAGUAUUUUCUUAUUAUGCGCAAGUUAUGAAUUUAAUUAUUGUAUUUUAAUUCGAUUAUUUUUAAUUUAUGUAAUUUUUAAAAUUUAAAAUUUUAGUCCUAAUUAAGUAAUACUUAUUAAAUUCAUUAAAUUUUACUAUUUUUAAUAUUUGAUACAUCAAACUUGUUAUCACAUUUAUAAUGCCAUAUUAACUUAUUAUUUCAACAUAUAACUAAAAAAAAUUUGUUAAUGGAUUUAACAACUAUAGCUUGCAUUAAAAUUAAAAUUUCAAAAUUCAAGAAAUAUAACUACUCAAUGAUUCAAUUGGAGAAUGUAAAUUUAACCUACAAUUUUACGCCUAUUGCAAGACUAAUAGCAAAAUUUAAUCAAACAAGUUUAACUACUAUCAUUUGGUUAGGACUAAAAUUUUAAAAUUGAAAAACUGAAGGGACAAAAAUUAACCAAUUUGAAAAGUACAAAGACUAAAAUUGAGCAAAUUAUAGUGACUAAGUCCACAACUUAUGCAGAGUACAGGGACUAAUAACAAAAUUUGACCUUAUUCUUUCUUACUGUACUUAUCCUACACCCCGCCCGUGUACUUUAGCAGUCCCCCACCGCUCCAUUUUCAAUUAUCUUUUUGCCUUGCGCAUAUUCUCUUCAGUGAUAAUCUUUCUAUUUCGAAACCAAAAAAAAGUAAAAAACUCUCUCAAACCCCCCAAAAUUAGGGUUUUUCUUCUUUUAACAGAGUAAGAGACUUGAGUUGCUCACUCACUUUUGAAUCGAGGUGGGCGUUUCAAGCGCCUUCAUAAUUUGUGCAAAAUUGCUGCUCCGGAACCUUAGAGAGUGCCAAAGUAUUAUGCCUUUAGGACGAUUUUUCCGUGCUUUUGAGUUUGGGAUAAUUGUUUAAUAUAUACUCUGAUGGCGCCCAGCCGAAGGAAAGGCGCCAGUAAGGCGGCUGCUGCGGCUGCCGCUCGCCGCCAAUGGAAAGUCGGCGAUCUUGUCCUCGCUAAAGUCAAAGGUUUCCCUGCUUGGCCUGCUACGGUAUGCCAAGACUUGUAUCACUAUCUUCUAUUUUCUCCUGUUUUAAAUCUCUGUUAUGCUGGAAAUAUGUUAUUGCCUUAGGUUUGUGGUUGCAUGUGAGUUUUAAUGUUCUUUUCUUUUGAUGAUUAAGUGGCAUGAUCAAUUCUUCUAUUUAGUGUAUGUUUAUGUGUUAAUAGUGCAUUAGUCAGGAGGAAUUCUUUGGCGGGUUUCUUUUUUGUUUUACUGAUUAAUAUUUAACUAUGUUCUGAAGUUGCUUUUCGCGAAUCCAAAGGGGAUUGAAGUGUUUGUUAGUUUCAAACUUGAAUGCAUAUCUUAGAAAAUUAAAUUAGAAAUCUUUUCGCUAGUUUUAUUUUUAAAAUAGAUUUUAGGGAAAAUGAAUCCUUGGUUUCUCAGUUCUGCUGGAAAUUGCUUAGAGAGGCGACAGACUAAUCUUUUGUCCUGUAAGAUUUAUUAUUAUUAUUAUUCUUCUUCUUCAUAUCUAACUUCUUUACUUUUGAUUUCUCAGUACUAUUUUUUUCAUAUCUAAAUUAGAAAUGUUAGAAAUUAUUUUUGAUUCAUAUCUAGCUUUUAUUUGGAAAAAAAGGGACAAAAUUGAUUAAAACAAAAAAAACCAAGGGAAAUUGGUCCAAAAUUAAGCUUAUGCUUGUAACUUCAGGAAUGAGUGGAGAUUACACCCUGAAUUUGGGCAUCUUGAUAUUAUUUGUGAAUGUGAGAUUACGGGGUGGCUGGAAUAUUGAAAAUCAAAACAGUGUAAUCUUAUUAUUUCAGGGUGUAAUGUAGCAUUUGGGGAACCGAAUGCACCUUUAGGCUUAUGUUUUUGAUUGCUUGUGGCAGGUAAGUGAGCCUGAGAAGUGGGGCUAUUCAUCUAAUUGGAAGAAAGUUAUGGUUUACUUUUUUGGAACACAGCAAAUGUAAGUGUGCAUUUGAAUUUUUUAUUUUGUGCAAUUUAUCCUUUUGAUUUGUUUUUCCUACCUCUAUUUUGCCCCAUUUUGUUAUUCUAUGAAACUUGUUUUUAAGUCAUGACAAGUUGAAACUUUGCGUUCUCAGUUUUUGGUUUUUCUUGUUGACAUGAAUGUAAUCUUUUAAAAUUGUUUUAUGGGCUUGUGUUGUUUGAGUACUUCCCAGCAAAUAUGAUUUAGAUUGGAUCUGUCCUUGUUGCAUAUUGUCUAGAUUUAUUGAUCUAUAUGUUUUUAUCAUCACAAUGGUGAGAUAAUUUGGGUUUAGGAUGUUCUUGAAGUGUAGAAGGAUUUGGCAUUCUAUUUCUAGAUGAUUUAUUGAACUAUAUUGACAACUAGAGGUGUUCAUGUGCCAGGAUUGAGUUUAUAUUUUUCAACCUUGGGCUGGUCCGGCCUGACCCAUUUUAUUGUAUAGGAAUAAUAAAAAAUAUAAAAAGCCAGUCUGAUUAAAUUUCUCUUUAAUUUUUUUCUAUUUUUCACUGUUUUCAUUUGAAAUACCGUUACUAGUAAGAAAGAUAAUCUUGAACUCUAUACUUCUCAAUAUUUGGGCAUUCAACUACAAACAAUGACUGCAAGGAAAUCAUUCAUAUUGACCAGUCACAGAAAUUGCAUGUUUUUUAGAAAAAACUGAACCACAUUUUAGAAUUUACUAUAUAUCUUAAGCUUUAUAAUUUAUAGACAGACUUGUAAAAUCUCACACUUAUACGUAUUGCACUUCACUUCACUGAGGCUAGCACUUUUUCUGCGCUUUGUGCCUGAGGCAAUAUAACGGUUCUAGAGUCUAGAGUGCUCCUUGCGUCCUGGACAACACUCCAAUUGUCAUAAUUACGAUUGUUGGUGAAACAGUUCCGCACUCCCACUAUUUAGCUAUUAUUUUUUAGAUUAUCUUUUCAACUAUAGUGUAUUAUCACCAUUAUUAUUUUAAUUUCCUUUUUGUCAGUAUAUUUAUAUGAUGAAGAAUCCAUUGUUUAGUAAUAUUUUUUCCCCAGAAAGCUAACCACCUAACCCAUAUCACUGGUGGCGAUGUUUUAUUGUCACCAAGGAAAGGCUACCCAUUUGGAGAUGAAUGAAUUAGUUUCCUCUCUUCGUUGCCCAUAUGUAAAGCUAUGAGGUAUAUUUUGAAUCAUAUGCAUCUUUAAAUUGAAUGUUUAUGAUCUAGUAAUGUGUGCUUAUUUAUGCCGCCAGAUAUGGGUUCUUGAAUGCAAAAUUAGAACAUUUUAAAUGGGACUCUUUUUGUGCAUUAAUUUGUAGUUUAGGACAGGAAGAUGUCUAGACUUGUUGUUGAUGGCGCACUUUAAAAGAUUUGCAAUUAUGGAAGCUUAUAUAUUCUUCACAUCUCAUGCUUUGUUUUCUUUUCAUCAUAAAGAAGUCCUUACCAGAAGCUCUUCAUUACCCCAAAAAGCAGAAUUUGUUUAAUGAUAUUUGUUAAAUCACUAAUUCUAUAAACCUGGUAGGGAUUAAUUUGUCUUGGGGUUUUGACUGGGUUUAGGGUUUAGGGUUUAGGGUUUUAGGGUUUUAGGGUUUAGGGUUUGCUCUACAUAUUUUGAGAAUUUGAACUAUCCUCUCCUCUUAUGUUGUUGGCUAUUUUAAUAUUUUAUUGUUUCUGCAUAUUUAGUUCUCAUAUAAAAUAUUAUGUUAAGGUUGUGAUCUAAGCAGAUAUUAUAGUGUCUAGAAGGUGUGGAAUUCGGCAUUGCAGUUUUUCACCAUUUCUUUUCUUGCAAAACAAUUUAUUCAUUAGUACUGAUAAUUUAAGGCAGUCCAUGGCAUUACAAAUUAAGGCUUUGUUUGUUGAGUGGAUAGAAAAAUGGGAGCGAAAUGUGAAGAGAAACAAGAUAUUUUCCAUAGCAUGCUAGCAAAGAUGGAAAAGUGAAAAGAAAAAUUUAAUUUCUUCCUAGCCAUUGUUAGGUAGAGUUAAAAAAAUGAGAGAUGUUGUUCACCCCUUUUUAUAAUUUAAAAAGAUAUAUUGAAAUAAUAAUGAGUAAUCUUGUACAUGUGCACACCUGACUGGCUGACUAGCAUUUCUAUGAUUUUUCUCUCAUUUUUCGGAUUCGGAAUGAUUUGUUUUUAUGCAUCAAGCUGAAUUCCUAUUUUAUUUCCUUUCACUUCUCUCUCCUACCAAGGAUAUUCAAAAUUUGUUUCCUUCCAUUCUUCUACCCACCUCUAUUGACCCUUCCAUUUUUUUCACUGUACUAAGUAGACGUCAAAGUACAUGAAAGCAUGGCGAGGAUAUGGCAGCUAAUUGUGAUAUAAGAAACUUAGAAACAUUUCUGGACAGAUCAUUAGCUUGGAAGCAUGGCAUUCAUAUAACAUAAAGAAAACAAAGCUCAGUGGUAGGAUGAUUGUAUGGUGGAAUUUGGUCUACUAAGUGGUGAUUUGUUUGUAUUAUUCCAAAGAUAAAUUUGUGUAAGAAACUAAUCAAACUGGAAACUUGAAUUUGUCAAGUGUUGAAUCUUGAUGAGGUAAAGAAAAAAGGUCAUCUCUCUUGGGGGUCGUUUGGAUCAUGAAAUGUAUGAUUACCAGUGGCCAUCUUGUAUUUUGCAAUCAUAUAACCAUGUUUGGUUCAACAACAUUACCUUGAGCUGGUAAUAUUAUUACCAACAGUGCCAAGAUUCAAUAAUAUAAGGGGUAAUCUUAAUACCAAUCUUAUAUUACUUUGAUGACGUAAGAUUUGUGACAAAUUUACCCUCAUUCUUAAUGACUUUGAUCCAUUUUUAUUAAAACUAAGACAAAUAAAUAAUAAGUACUAAUGAAUUAAACUCUCCAGUUUUUUUCCAUAUAUAUUCCCUCAAUUAGCAUUUAACAAUAUUAAUUAAUUAAUUUAUUAUAAGUGAGUUUGUCUAUUAUUAUUAGUUGAGGAAACUUAACAUUUGUUUAUUAUAUUACAUUUUAUCGAUUAAAUUACCUUAAUUUUUUAUUAAUCAACAGUAUGACUAGUGAGUUUUUUCCAUAAUAAGUGUUGUUGCUUACUGAAAACCUCAUUAUCAAGAGGUGCUCCUGAACAGCUAUCGAACAAAUCUCUUUAAAUCAUUCCAAGAAUGGAAAAGCUACUUCCUCACUGUUCACUGUUGCUUCAACUGUUUCCUUUGCUUUCUCUUGCAUUAAUCAGUUACCUCAUUCCGUAGGUGGCUUCUUUUAUUCAUGCAAUGGAUGCAAUUUCAAAUUUCUGUUUUAUAUUAUGUUGUGUUAUGUUGGUUGGUAAACCUUUCAUUUGUUGGUAUUCUUAAAAGUAAUGUCAAAUACUGUUCACUGGAGCAUUGCUUCGUCUAGACAUAAAGUUGAAACUCCUUAUUGUAAUGUUCAAUUAUUGAUUCAUGGAUUGGGUUGUUGAAAGCUGGUGUACAUUCAUUGGAUGAUAUUAAAAUUGAGUCUUAUUAAGGCCUUGGUAUCCUUGCAGUGACAUGAGCUGUCUUUUUCAGAUUGUAGAUUAGAUAUUUUCUUUGUUGUUAUCUAAUGCCUGCUCUAUACUUUAUUUGGAUUGUCUUUUGUCCUUCCACUUUAUCUUAUAGUAGUUAACCUGAUAAUAGGUUUACAGUUCUCAUUCAGAGAACUGAUAGAUGGUUUUCAAGGCGUAGAGAGUUAUGUUCUGAAAUGGGCUUUUUGGAGACUCACAAGUAAAGGCAUGAUGUAUGCUUAGUUGGAUGCUAUCAUUCUAAUUUAUCUUUCCUGUAUGUGGUUGUGACAUUUCUGGUACUUUUUUGUACAUAAUAGAGACAUGUUAGGAAAGCUGGAAACAUUCCUGGUAUUUUUUUUAGAUUUUGGAAAAUCUCAAUAGUUAUUUGGUGAUGCUGAUAUAUAGGAAGAUUUAGUCUUCAAAUUCAGAAUCUCUAAAGACCAGCAAAGAUUUAAGGAGUUAUUUGAUAACUUGGGUUUUGAAGUUCAUUGGUAUAUCAAUCAGCUGUGCUGUAACUUUCUUCGAACUAAUGAUAUUUCAUCAGUGUAAUUCUGGAUGUGGAUGUUCUGUAUAACCUGUUAAAUAAAUGAAAAUGGUCAGGGAAAGGAGACAAAUGCUUCCUUUUAAUGUGUAGCAGCACCUGUAUGUAUGAUGAGAAUGUUGUCCUAAUUUCUUAUCUAAAUAACUGUGUGUGGGCUGCCCUUGGGAUUAGAUUCAUGGAAUUAUAGUAGAACCUAUAAUUUUAAUAGGAAGUUCUGAUAGUUACUAUAUAAAAUUACUGUAAACAUCUUUUACAUUUUUUUUUAUGUGGAUGAUUGUCUGUUGAGGGUUGUAACUAUGUCUAUUCUUUUCCUCUCCAAAUAUAAUUCAACUUAGCUUAUUUUGCAUUCUGUUAGUUCACUUAUGGGUAUCUUUCAUGCAGAGCAUUCUGUAAUCCUGCUGACGUUGAAGCAUUUACAGAAGAGAAGAAACAAUCUCUUUUGACCAAACGUCAGGGAAAGGGUGCAGAUUUUGUUCGUGCAGUCAAGGAAAUUAUUGACAGUUAUGAGAACUCAAAGAAGCUGGAUCAAGUUGAUAACUAUAAUUCUGCUGAUGGAGUUACUCAGGCAAAUUGUGGGAACUCAGGGGACUCAUCUGUGUCAAAGGAUCUGACUGACACUUGCGAGGCAACUGAGAUUGCUCAAGCUGAUGCAAGAAUAGAUGCUCUGCAUGAAAAAGAAUCUGUCUCAGAACAACCUUCAGAUGCAUUUCCGGUUAAAGAACCUGUUUUGACCACAUACUCAUCAAGAAAAAGAUCUGAAAGUGUACGAUCUCAAAAAUCUAUUGGACAGCAGAAGACAUCACCAGUUCGAAGAGGUAGAAGCUCAACAAAGGUGGAAUCCUCUAGAUUCCAGAACUUUAUGAUGUCGUCUAAUGAUGUUAGGAGUGUCUCUGAUGUAGCAACAAAUGUGAUCCAGAAUGGGUCCCAAAGGAAGAAUAAACAAGUCAAGAAGUCUACAGAUGCAUCUGAGAGUGAUGAUGUGGACUUAUCUGUGUUAAUGCUGAAUGGUAGAAUUGAUGACAAUGGGUCUGACAUUGCUACUGUUGAUUCUGAUGCUGGUAGUUUCAAUGAGGGUAGCUCUAUGGAUUGUAGUUGUAAACCUGAAGACUCUGAGACUGUUGUUGAGUGUUUGGAGGGAGAUGCUGAGUUGAGCAAAGGGCUUGAUUUCCAAAUAAAGGCUGUUGUCAUUAAGAGAAAAAGGAAACCAUUUAGAAAGAGGGUGAACAUUGAUUCUGCUGAGCCUCUUGCAGAAGCAGAUCUGGAUUUAGGAAUCAGUAAUACUAGACAAAAUUUGCAGAAUACUUGUGAAAAUAUAAAUGACACAUAUUCCAAAGAUGAUGGAGAUGAGCACCUACCCUUGUCAAAAAGAGCAAGGGUUCGCUUGGGUAAACUGUUAGCUGCUGAUGAGAUCGUUAAUUCUUCACCAAUAGAAGAAAAGCGUAUUAAUGAAGGCACUGUCAAUUUAUUGCAGCAGAUGAGUCCAUCAAGCAGUCACAAUGAUUCUGCUACUGAGAGAGACUCUUUGUUGUUGAAGGAUGCUUUGGCUAAUGUAUCACCUUCAAAGGGUGACACUGAAGUUCGAGGGAGUGGGCCGGAAUCUUCGAAAGUUUUGAGAAAUCAGUUGGGGUGUUUGGCAGGUGGUGAAGCUGCCUUGCCUCCAUCCAAACGCCUCCAUCGUGCUUUGGAAGCUAUGUCAGCUAAUGCUGCUGAUGAAAAUCAGGCAAUUGCUGAACUUUCUACAACCAUGAAAAUAUUAGAUGGUGAAAGUCAUGAUUCUCUAAUGAGUUCUCAUGUAACUGUUGAGGACAAAGAAGCUAGUGGGUUGGAGCAACACAGCAGGGAUUUGAUUGCUCAUAGUGAUUCUGGCAUCUUUUUCGUAUCAAAUUCAAUGCCUUCAGAUAAGUUUGUCAAAUCUUCUGUGGAACCACUUGUUUGCUGUCAACCUGUGAAGAGUCCUAAGAAUCAAAAGCAUGAAUUACACGAGGAUGUCUUUGUGGAGCCUAUGAACCCUGUUAGUUGUAAUACUCAUAAGAGCGAAUGUUUAGAACAUUCAUCCCCUAAUCCUGAGGAAUGCCAAGCUAGUUUCAGAUCUAGCUGUGGUUCUUUAUAUGAAAAGUUCCCUUCAAAUGAUGAUUUGGAUGCUGAACCUGCUGGCUUGAGCAAUUCCAGGGCUGAAAAUCUUGAUGAACGGUUUAAUACUUCAGAACAUGCUGAGAUGAGUUUUGAUCCUGUUACAGUGACUGGGAAAACUUGUAAAGUUUCACCUCAGGAUGACUCCAAAAGUGAGCCACUGAAGUCCCAAAUUAAUGAUAGCAGCUUAGUCAACAUCAUGUAAGCAUAUUUACCUUGCUUUUAUCACAGUUAUUAUGUGAACUAUAUUGAGAAAGUAAAAUAAUAGAGAAUUUUUUGUUCUAAAAGUAUGCCAUAAAAUUUCACAUUAGCAGCCUAAUUUGAUCCUACAAUCAUGAGAGUGUUCUGCUGUUAAUUUGCAGAAUUUGGAGUUUGACAACAGCUUAUUCUAAGCAAAAUAAAUAAUCCUGAUGCUAAUAUUAAUGUAAAUCUUGUAAGAAUUUAGUUCACCAAGGUGUUUAGCUUUAUUUUCUCAGUUUUCUUUUUGUUUUUUCUGUGUGUCUUUGUGUGUGUCUUUAGCGCUUAUCUGCUAUUGAUUUGCUGAAUUUUCUCUUAUUUAUGUAGGUGUGAGGUUGAGGAAGAGUUUCAACCAGAAUUGAGGCAGAAGACUUCUUCUAGUUUUAAUCAUGAUGACAACUCAGGCAAGGAUGUUGCAGUUGUCCAGUUAAGUCCAUGUUCAGCUGAUGGAGUAGAUUCUCCGGCUAGGGUCUCUCCAAAUGCUUCUCUUUGUCAUGUUUCUACCUCGGAGAGUGCUAGUAUUGCUCCAAGCAAUGGGUAUUGUAGUCCAAAUGUUCACUUGUGUCCCAACAAAGCUUUAUGUGUUCCAAAUGCUGAUGAUGAAGGUAAAGCUGAUUCUGUGACCUUUGAAAGACCAAAAUCUGUCAAUAAAUGCAGUAAUUACACUGAAGCACAAGCUGUUCUGUUGUCUUUUGAAAAUAUGCUUGUGAUCUUAACGAGGACAAAGGAGAGCAUUGCUCGUGCAACGCGUAUAGCAAUUGAUUGUGCCAAAUUUGGUGUUUCUUCUAAGGUAGAUAAAGGCUUUUUGUAGACUGUUUAAGUUAUCAAAGGCAUUUUUACUUAUUAGCACUUUAAAUUCAAAUUCGUCAUAGAUAAACUUUGGCAUGAACAUUAUUUAUUCAUUCCCCUUUUAGGAUUUCUUUUUAGACUAAUAGUGUAUAUGCUGAAUACUAAGAGAGCAUGUUUGCUAAAAGUAUGUACAGAUGAUAUACUGUUAUAAAAAAAGUUCUUAUUUUUUAUUUGGAAUGCAUUGGUUUCUUCCUUUUAACCUAGGUUGUGGAAAUUAUUGCUCGAAAUUUGGAGAGAGAGUCAAGCUUACACAGAAGGGUGGAUUUGUUCUUUCUUGUGGAUUCCAUUACUCAAUGCUCCCGGGGUUUAAAAGGUAUUAUUUGUAUUUUUAUAAUUUAGCAGCAUGUUAGGUGUUUGGUCUGUAAGUCAUGGCUAUGUGCCUACCAAAUUUGGUAUCCAGGUGAUGUUGGUGAUAUCUACCCUUCAGCUAUUCAAGCAGCACUCCCUCGUCUACUCAAUGCUGCAGCACCCCCUGGACCUAAUGCACAGGAAAAUCGUCGGCAGUGCUUAAAGGUAGGUGGCUUUGAUGUAUUCUUUUUCUUUAUAUUUUAUUUGGAUUGUUGGUUUCUCACCCUUUUUCUUUGAUAUAGGUUUUGAGACUUUGGUUGGAAAGAAGAAUCCUUCCAGAAUCUGUUGUUCGGCACCAUAUACGAGAACUUGAUUCACUUAGUGUUUCAUCUUCUGGUGGUGUGUUUUCUCGUCGUUCAGCUAGAACAGAGAGAGCAUUGGAUGAUCCUAUUAGAGACAUGGAGGGUAUGCUUGUUGAUGAGUAUGGCAGGUCUAUAUUUCAGGAUCACUUUAACUUAUGGUUACUUUUUGUUUAAAAGAUUUUUGUUCCUGAGAUUUGUUUUUUCUUGCCUCAGUAACUCAAGUUUUCAGCUCCCUGGAUUUUGUAUGCCUCGAAUGCUCAAUGAGGAUGAGGGUAGUGAUUCCGAUGGAGAAAGUUUUGAAGCUGUCACUCCAGAGCACUAUUCUGGAGUUCCUGACGAACAAGAGGAAAACCCUGCAAGUGAAAAGCGCAGACAUAUUUUGGAGGAUGUUGAUGGUGAACUUGAAAUGGA
rnacentral:lncRNA from 1 species